rnacentral:lncRNA from 1 species
AUUUUUUUUUCGUGAUUCAGCAACAUGUACAUGACUUUUUCAAAAUAUCUAUCUAUACUAGAUACAAAAAUGUCUGUGUACUUCCUAGAAAAUGUUAAACAAUUAUAAAAAAAUACGGGUGUCUAAGAAAAAUGUAUGAUGCAACGAAAAAGGUAAAUAUCAACACAUAUAUUAAAAAAUGAUAAUUAAACAUACAAAAAAAUAUUAAACCUCCAUAAAAAAUUGUUUUCGAUGUAUACCCAAAAUAAAAUGUGUAUGAAAACUAUAGUUAUGAAAACUUAUAUUUUAAACUAAAAUGUUAAAAUUUAUAUAACCUUUUUGGGUGGUACAAAAAUAUAGAAUAUAUACGAAAAAAAGUAGAAAUAAAACAUAUAUUUGAAAAAAAAUGUUAAUCAUGUAUAUGAAAAUUGUUAAUCUUGUAUAAGAAAAUGUUUUAAAUGCGCAUAAAAAAGUGUAUAUUUUGUUCGAAAACAAUAUAUAUAUGAAAAGUGGAUAUCAAAACAUAUAUUCAAAAAACGUUAACGUGUAUUUAAAAAAUAUUCUUACCGUAUACGAAAAAUAUACAUGUGUAAGAAAAUUUAGACAUCUGUUCAAAAAAGUGAACAUGAAAUAAAGCAAAGAAAAGCAAAGAAAGAAACAAGUAAAACGAAGUUAAAAAUAAAAAGAAAAAUAAAACCAAAAAACCAGAGCAAAAAAACAAAACAAAGAAAAUAAGUUAACCGGAGAAACCAAGAAAAAACAAAAAAAAUUCUGAAGAGAACGAAUAAAAAAAGGAAGAGAACAAAAAAUCAGUAAAGCAAGAAAGAAAUAUAAAAUAGUGGUAAAAAUAAAAGAUAAGUAAAAGAAAAUAAAAACCUCAAAAAUCAAAGAACAAGCUGCAUGGCAUGGAUGCUAUACUCGCUAUAAACAAGGUAUAGCGAGGCCAUGCCCGCAUGCGGAGCAGUGUAGGCCGGCCUAGUCCCAGGGUUCGCUGCGCUGUUGUUUCCUUCACUGCUGCUGCGGGGUUUUAUUUUCGUUUUUCUUCUUUGGUUUUCUAUUUAGUUUUUUUUUGUUUUUUCUUGUCUUCCGGUUUUUUUGAAUUUUUUUGUACUACAAGUGUUUAUCUAAUAUACUUUGAACAUAUUUUAAUACAUACUACACAUUUUUCAAAUGUAUUGUGAUUAUUUAUUUAAAUACACACUGAACAAAUUUUUUAUAUACACUGAUGAAGAUUUUUCAUGAUGAAGAUUUUUUAUAUACACAGAUUUAUUUAAUAUAUGGUGACCUUUUUUAUAAGGUAAACUGAAUAUUUUUUAGAUAGGAGUAAGUUUUAAUCUAUGAGAAAAGCUUACCUAAAAGCACAAGUGCUCCCUAGGUGGUUUUGGUAAUUAAUGUCAACAUAUCUCUUGUUGGAUUAACACUUUUAUCUAGUAUGUUUCAGAUAAGUUCAACAAUGGAGUGGCAUGGACUAAAGGAUGUGGGAACUCUUUCAAGAUGCUAAGGACAAAGGAUUGGCUAAAGCUUCAAGCUCAAGACUCUUCAUUUUACAUUUUAUUGAUCCAAGAUCACAUUGAGUCUAUAGGAAAAGCCAAUACUAUCAAGGAGGGAUGAUGUGUUGCUUAAUGAGCCUCUUGCUUCAAGUGCUUAGUGAUAUGCUCCAAAUACCCUCAACUACUUUCUCACUUCCACACAUAUGUCCUAAACCCAGAGUCAAACUCGGCCCCACUGAUUCUUCCUAUCCGGCGCCACCGAGUUUUGGAUGAGUUAGCCACUGGCACAAACCCUAGGCAAAUUGGUCUCACUGAUAGGGAUCUCGGUUUCACCGAGAUGUGAUUGUAAUCUCUCUGUGUAUGUCCAUUAUCAAAAUCGGUCUCACCGAGCUUGAGCAAUCGGUACUACCGAGAUUACAAUGCAAACUUUCUGGUUAACUCAUUAUCAAAAUUGGUCCCACCGAGUUUGAGUAAUCGGUCCAACCAAGUUUGCCUGACCAACUCUCUGGUUAGCUAAUUACCAAAAUCGGUCUCACCAAGUUUGUGUAAUCGGUCUCACCGAGAUUACGUUAUGCCCUAACCCUAACCAUAUCGGUCCUACCGAGUUGCAUUUCGGUCCCACCGAAAAUCCUAACGGUCACUAAUUUGCUGAAUCGGUCCGACCGAGUUUCCCAAUUCGGUCCCACCGAGUUUGGCAAGUUGUGUGUAACGGUUAGAUUUUGUGUGGAGGCUAUAUAUACCCCUCCACCUCCUCUUCAUUCAUGGAGAGAGCCAUCAGAACAAACCUACACUUCCAACUUACUAUUUCUGAGAGAGAACUACCUACUCAUGUGUUGAGGCCAAGAUAUUCCAUUCCUACCAUAUGAAUAUUAAUCUCUAGCCUUCCCCAAGUUGCUUUCCACUCAAACCCUCUUUCCACCAGAUCCAAAUCCUAUGAGAGAGAGUUGAGUGUUGGGGAGACUAUCAUUUGAAGCACAAGAACAAGGAGUUCAUCAUCAACGCACCAUUUGUUACUUCUUGGAGAGUGGUGUCUCCUAGAUUGGCUAGGUGUCACUUGGGAGCCUCCGACAAGAUUGUGGAGUUGAACCAAGGAGUUUGUAAGAGCAAGGAGAUUGCCUACUUCGUGAAGAUCUACCGCUAGUGAGGCAAGUCCUUCGUGGGCGACGGCCAUGGUGGGAUAGACAAGGUUGCUUCUUUGUGGACCCUUCGUGGGUGGAGCCCUCCGUGGACUCGCGCAACCGUUACCCUUCGUGGGUUGAAGUCUCCAUCAACGUGGAUGUACGAUAGCACCACCUAUCGGAACCACGCCAAAAAUAUCCGUGUCUCCAAUUGUGUUUGAAUCCUCCAAACCCUUUCCUUUACAUUCUUGCAAGUUGCAUGCUUUACUUUUCGCUGCUCAUAUAUUCUUUGCAUGCUUGCUUGAUAUGUGUUGUGAGUGUUAAACUUGUGCCUAAACUCCACUUAAAUUUAAAAAGGUUAAAAACUGCAACUUUGGUACUUAGUGUCUAAUCACCCCUCUCUAGACACCUCUUCUCAAGGUCCUACAAGUGGUAUCAAGAGCAUUGGUCUCCAUUGCCUUGGUUUGAUCACCAUUGGAGGAAGAUGGAUGAGUCUACUUUGGGGAGUCUUAGACAUAGAUUGCCUAUUCUUGAUGGAGAGUAUUUUCAUGAGUGGAAAAAUGAGAUGCUUGUAAUUUUCAAUCAAUAUCAUUUGAACAAGUACAUUGUUAGCCCUUGUGCAUCUUAUGUUGACCCUAUGCAUCCAACCCAUGAUGAGUCAAUUGACAUGGUUAGGAAUCUUAGAACUGCCGAACUUAUCAUUAGAGGAUUGCCUAGAAACUUGAUUGGAUGUUUGCCUACUUUUAAGUGUGCCUAUACUAUAUGGAAAUUUCUUGAGGAACGAUUUUCAGAUUAUUCCUUGAAAAAUCUUGAAGAAAUUCUCCAUAAGUCUAUUGCUUUGAGUAAGAUGAAUACUAGUGAUCCUAUGUUUGGUGAUCGUCUGUUUGAGCUUACAAACCUUAUGCGUGCCAAAGGAAAUAUUGGUAUUAUUAGUGAUAUUAUUUCCGAAGCUAUAAAAAUUCAUAGACAAGAUCAUUGUCAAACUCACUCUAACGAAUCACCCUCUCUAGGAUUUGAUCCACCACAUGACGAUGUUGAACAUGGAUACUAUGAUGAGGAUGAUGAUAGUGACUUUGAUCUUGAUGAUGCAAUGAGACACUUUGGUCUUAUGGCAAAUCUUUGGGGAUAUAUGUCAGGAGGAAAGGAAUGGGUUCUUGAUAGUGGAUGUACCAAUCACAUGACUAGAGAUAAAGACAUGUUUCGUGAGCUUGCUAAAAAUGAUAGUCCUCGAAAGUAUGUCACUUUCGGUGACAACUCAAAGGGUAAGGUGGUUGGCCUCGGUAAGGUGGCCAUAUCACAUGAUAGCUCCAUACAAAAUGUCAUGCUCGUUGAAUCUCUUGGGUACAACUUACUUUCAGUAUCUAGACUUGCUGAUUUCGGUUUCAAUGUUCUAUUUACUAAAGUAGAUUGCCAAGUGUUUCGUUGAGACAAUCAUAAAAUGGUCUUUAUCGGUAUACGUAGAGGUGAUCUAUACAUUGUUGAUUUCACUAAAAAGGCUCAACCUAAAACUUGCUUCAUUCCUAAAUCCUCAAAAGGAUGGUUAUGGCAUAGACAUUUAGGUCAUGUUGGUAUGCGAAACCUUGACAAGCUUAUUAAGGGAAAUCAUAUCCUUGGAGUUAAUGAUGUCAUAUUUGAUAAGGAUAGACUUUGCAGUGCUUGUCAAGCAGGUAAACAGGUUGGAGGGAGGCAUCCCGUGAAGAACAUCAUGACCACAAAGAGGCCACUCGAGCUACUUCACAUGGAUCUCUUUGGUCCCAACUCUUACAAGAGUCUCGGUGGAAAUUCUUUUGGUCUAGUUAUAGUUGAUGAUUUUUCCAGAUUUACGUGGGUGUUCUUUCUCGAUGACAAAUCGCAGGUCCAAAAGAUCUUCAAAAACUUCGCUAGGGAAGCCCAAAAUCAAUUUGAAAUGAAGAUCAAGAAGGUUCGCAGCGACAACGGAACGGAGUUCAAGAACGCAAAUGUGGACACCUUUCUUGAUGAAGAAGGGAUUUCACACGAGUUCUCGGCUACGUACACACCUCAACAAAAUGGAGUUUUUGAGAGGAAGAACCGGACGCUCAUCGAAAUGGCGAGAACGAUGCUUGAUGAGUACAAGACACCGAAGCACUUUUGGGCAGAAGCGGUUGAGACAGCUUGUCAUGCAACAAAUUGCUUGUAUCUUCACAAUCUACUCGGCAAGACGGCAUACGAGCUCCUCACUGGUAACAAACCCCAAGUUGGAUACUUUUGAGUAUUUGGCUCAAAGUGCUACAUUCUUGAUAAGCAUCGUCAUUCUAAAUUUGCUCCUAAGUCUCAUAAAGGUUUCCUACUAGGUUACGGCUCAAACUCUCACACUUACCGUGUCUACAACAAUUUCACCCGAAAGGUUGAAGAGACGGUAGAUGUGAAGUUUGAUGAAUCUAACGGCUCGCAAGUAGAGCAAUUGCUAAUUGAUGUAGGAGACAAAGAUCCUUCGGAAGCAAUCCAAGACUUGUCUAUUAGCAAGGUCCGUCCAACGGAGGUGAAGGAGAGUACCUCGUCCGUCCAAGUGGAAGCUUCUACUUCACGACAAGGUGAACUAAGAGUUGAUAUGGAAGCAUCCACAAGUGGGACACACCAAGAUGAAGAAAACGAGGAAGUGCAUCAAGAUGAACAUCAACAACCUCCUUCUCCACCACGACAAGAGAACGCCAACGCCAACAAUGAAGAAGAUGUUCAACGAAGACUCAAGCAAAAGUUUUCACGAGUUCGAGCAAGAAUUGCUAAAGAUCACCCCGUCGAGCAAAUCUACAAUGACAUUCAAACCGGGAGAAUCACUCGCUCUAAAACUCGUUUAGCUAACUUUUGUGAAAACUAUUCAUUCAUCUCUAGCGUUGAACCUAUGAAGGUUGAAGAAGCAUUGGAAGAUCCGGAUUCGAUAAAUGCUAUGCAUGAAGAGCUACACAACUUUGAGAGGAACCAAGUUUGGACAUUUGUUGAGAAGCCCGACGACAACCACAACAUCAUCGGUACCAAAUGGGUGUUUCGCCACAAGCAAGAUGAAGAUGGACAAGUAGUUCGCAACAAAGCACGUCUCGUCGCCCAAGGCUACACACAAGUCGAAGGUAUGGACUAUGGUGAGACUUACGCCCCCGUUGCUAGACUUGAGUCCAUUCGCAUCUUACUUGCCUAUGCUAAUCACCAUUAUAUCACCUUGUACCAAAUGGACAUUAAAAGUGCUUUUCUAAAUGGUGAAAUAGAGGAGGAAGUUUAUGUUAAGCAACCUCCCGGCUUUGUCAAUCCUAAGAAACCCAAUCAUGUUUACAAACUUCAUAAAGCCCUUUAUGGUCUUAAACAAGCUCCUAGAGCAUGGUAUAAAUGCUUGACCAAGUUCCUUAUUGAAAAAGGCUUUGAAAUUGGGAAAAUUGAUUCUACUCUUUUUACUAAAAGGGUUAAUGGUGAACUAUUUGUGUGCCAAAUCUAUGUUGAUGAUAUUAUAUUUGGUUCAACUAACCCUCAUUUUAAUGAAAAGUUUGGGAAGCUAAUGUCGGAGAAGUUUGAGAUGUCUAUGAUGAGUGAACUCAAAUUCUUUCUUGGGUUGCAAAUCAAGCAAACUAAGGAAGGUACUUUUGUUUCUCAAACGAAGUACACCAAGGACUUAUUCAAGAAGUUCAAUAUGCAAGAAUGCAAAGGUAUGACUACACCCAUGCCUACUUGUGGACAUCUUGACUUAACCAAAGAUGAUGAACCAGUUGAUCAAAAGGUUUAUCGCUUUAUGAUUGGUUCAUUGUUAUAUCUAUGUGCUUCACGUCCCGAUAUUAUGCUAAGUGUGUGCAUGUGUGCAUGAUAUCAAGCUGCUCCUAAAGAAUGUCAUCUUAAGGCCGUGAAAAGGAUAGUGAGAUACUUAAUCCAUACACCAAAUUUUGGCAUUUGGUAUCCUAAGAGGGCCUCUUUCAAUCUUGUUGGCUACUCCGACUCAGACUAUGCCGGAGACAAGGUUGAUAGAAAGUCCACUUCGGGUACUUGUCAAUUUCUUGGUAGAUCUCUUGUGUCUUGGUCUUCCAAGAAACAAAACUCGGUAUCCUUAUCCACUGCCGAAGCGGAAUACAUUGCCGCUGGUUCAUGUUGUGCUCAAUUACUUUGGAUGACCCAAACUCUUAAAGAUUAUGGGAUAUAUGUGAAACAUGUUCCAUUGCUUUGUGACAAUGAAAGUGCUAUCAAAAUUGGUCAUAAUCCUGUGCAACAUUCUCGAACUAAGCAUAUUGAAGUUCGUCAUCAUUUCAUUCGAGAUCAUGUUGCUAAGGGUGACAUUGAUCUUAAGCAUGUUUGCACCGAAAAGCAAUUAGCGGAUAUAUUCACUAAACCUCUUGAUGAGAAAGUGUUUUGCAGGUUAAGAGGAGAAUUGAACAUCAUUGAUGCUUCAAACUUGGAGUAGAAACUCCAUUGGAUACAUGCAAGACAUGAGCUUAUGACUAAUCCUUGAUAUCUCUCUUAUGAUGAAAAUCUUAUGUCUUGGAUAUAUUUGUAUCUUGCAUGUUAUCUAACCCAUGUAGGUACUUGGUUGAAUCAAAUUCCAUGAGGUUGUAACCUACUCAUAUCUUGAGCAAUCUCUACAUCACCAAGUCUCUACACUAUGGUGCUUGAAGACAAGGAAGCACAAAAACCAUUUAAACAUAUCCUUUGACAAAUUCUAUGUUGAGCUUCAUGAUUGUCAUUUUUGGAUAUACAAGUUCUCUUCCUUGCAAGUACUAACCCAUGUAGGUAGAUGGACUCAAAUUCCAAGUGGUGCUCCAAAAUCUUGAUGAGCUACAUCAACCUUAAGCAACCCACACAAGUUCAAUUACAUGGACAACACCACCAACCAAGGUAUGUUAUUCCAUCUUAGAGAAGCUUUACUCCAAGACAUGAGUUAAAGCAACUUGACAAGAUAUGAAUACGUCAAGAUGCUUAAACGAAAAAUGGCAACCCCAUUUUGAGCUUAAACGAUGAGUAUGACCUAUGAUCAAGUGAUCUCACUUGACUCCUAAGUCAAUAUACUCUAACAUAGGUGACUUUGUCGCCGACCAUCUCUAGAUGAAGUUCUCUUGUAUUCUCUUCUGUGUUUUUGCAUUUGUCUCAUGCAUAUGUGUUUCCCCUUUCAAAAAAAACUUCAUCUAGAUUUCUUUCUGUUUGCUCUGCAUUUUUUGCAUCUAAUUCCUGACAUAUCUUUCAGUAAAUUCCUUGCAAAUCUUUGUGAGAUCUUACUAGUCUAGUGAGCUAAGGUGACAAGUGUUUUCUCUGUGAUGAACUCGGUUUCACCGAUUUGUUGUUUUCGGUCCAAUCGAAUCCUUUCGGUGCAACCGAAGCCUACAACUCGGUGCCACCGAUUUCACAACAGGAAAAUCAGUUUGCCACUUAUUCUGUGUUUAUUCUGAUCCAGCUCCACUCAAUGAAUCUUGUCCUCUACAAGCAUCACUUUUUUUUAUAAUUGCAUUAUGAUGUGACUCAAGGAUCAAACCCAUUCACGACAAAUUCCAGAGGGAGAGAGAGAGACUACAUCUUUAUCAAGCCCUUCUUGGAAAUUGAUGUCAAAGGGGGAGAGAGAGAUCACAUCAAAUCUUAUCAUUUAGAGAGAGAGAGAGUAUCACCUUCUCAGGGGGAGAGAGAUCUCCAGGGGGAGAGAAUACUAGUAGAGAGUAUUUCUCAAGGAUCCCAGAUGCUUGGUGUUCAAGAGGAGAGAUGCCACAUGUCUUCUUGAGGGGAGAGACAUGUUCAUAUGUUCAUAUGUGCUUAUUUGCAUUAGUUUGCAUUAACUCUGUUCAUUUAUAUCUUCCAGCUCUGAUUUUCUGUUCCCUAUCUUCUCCCAGUAUCCCAUGCUAGAUUCAGGGGGAGCAAGACAUCUAUCGGAAAUAAAUCAAUCAAAUUCGUUGCAUAUCUUUACUCUUGGGGACAUGUCUAAUCCAAUGUAGUACUUAGUACUCACUCUCUACAUGUCAUCCCAGCCUUGGUAUUCUUAUGGUUUCUUUUGUUUGCUCUGGCUAGUAGAUGUAUCUAUGUUAUCUAACCUUGUUUAUGCAGGUUCAUUCCAUCCUAAGCCAACUCAAGACUACAAGGUAAGUAUAUGCAUCACCAUCAUGUGUAUGAGGAAUUCUUGCUGAUGUACAUACUGUUUGCAAGAAGGACUCUUGGGCAUGAAGGUAUUUCCUUUAAUACUUUUUGCUCUCAUGCAUAUGGCCAAGAUACAUGUAAGACAUUGCCUGCUCUAUCAUGGUUAUGCUAUCACAUGCUUCUAUAGUUCAUGUUCACAUGACUGCAUACAUGUAGGGGGAGCCUAUGCUUGUUACAUGUCUUUCCAAAGCUUUACUUGCUAUUCUUUAUAUCUCUAUCUAAAGCUUUGAUGUAUGUUGUCAUCAAUUACCAAAAAGGGGGAGAUUGAAAGCACAAGUGCUCCCUAGGUGGUUUUGGUAAUUAAUGUCAACAUAUCUCUUGUUGGACUAACACUUUUAUCUAGUAUGUUUCAGAUAAGUUCAACAAUGGAGUGGCAUGGACUAAAGGAUGUGGGAACUCUUUCAAGAUGCUAAGGACAAAGGAUUGGCUCAAGCUUCAAGCUCAAGACUCUUCAUUUUACAUUUUAGUGAUCCAAGAUCACAUUGAGUCUAUAGGAAAAGCCAAUACUAUCAAGGAGGGAUGAGGUGUUGCUUAAUGAGCCUCUUGCUUCAAGUGCUUAGUGAUAUGCUCCAAAUACCCUCAACUACUUUCUCACUUCCACACAUAUGUCCUAAACCCAGAGUCAAACUCGUCCCCACUGAUUCUUCCUAUCUGGCGCCACCGAGUUUUGGAUGACUUAGCGACUGCCACAAACCCUAGGCAAAUCGGUCUCACCGAUAGGGAUCUCGGUCUCACCGAGAUGGGAUUGUAACCUCUUUGUGUAUGUCCAUUAUCAAAAUUGGUCUCACCGAGUUUGAGCAAUCGGUACUACCGAGAUUACAAUGCAAACUUUUUGGUUGACUCAUUAUCAAAAUCGGUCCCACCGAGUUUGAGUAAUCGGUCCAACCGAGUUUGCCUGACCAACUCUCUGGUUAGCUAAUUACCAAAAUUGGUCUCACUGAGUUUGUGUAAUCGGUCUCACCGAGAUUACGUUAUGCCCUAACCCUAACCAUAUCGGUCCUACCGAGUUGCAUUUCAGUCCCACCGAAAAUCCUAACGGUCACUAGAUUUGCUGAAUCGGUCUGAUCGAGUUUCCCAAUUCGGUCCCAUCGAGUUUGGCAAGUUGUGUGUAACGGUUAGAUUUUGUGUGGAGGCUAUAUAUACCCCUCCACCCCCUCUUCAUUCGUGGAGAGAGCCAUCAGAACAAACCUACACUUCCAACUUACUAUUUCUGAGAGAGAACUACCUACUCAUGUGUUGAGGCCAAGAUAUUCCAUUCCUACCAUAUGAAUCUUGAUCUCUAGCCUUCCCCAAGUUGCUUUCCACUCAAACCCUCUUUCCACCAGAUCCAAAUCCUAUGAGUGAGAGUUGAGUGUUAGGGAGACUAUCAUUUGAAGCACAAGAGCAAGGAGUUCAUCAUCAAUGCACCAUUUGUUACUUCUUGAAGAGUGGUGUCUCCUAGAUUGGCUAGGUGUCACUUGGGAGCCUCCGACAAGAUUGUGGAGUUGAACCAAGGAGUUUGUAAGGGCAAGGAGAUCGCCUACUUCGUGAAGAUCUACCGCUAGUGAGGCAAGUCCUUCGUGGGCGAUGGCCAUGGUGGGAUAGACAAGGUUGCCUCUUCGUGGACCCUUAGUGGGUGGAGCCCUCUGUAGACUCGCGCAACCGUUAUCCUUCGUGGGUUGAAAUCUCCAUCAACGUGGAUGUACGAUAGCACCACCUAUCGGAACCACGCCAAAAAUAUCCGUGUCUCCAAUUGCGUUUGAUUCCUCCAAACCCUUCCCUUUACAUUCUUGCAAGUCGCAUGCUUUACUUUCCGCUGCUCAUAUACUCUUUGCAUGCUUGCUUGAUAUGUGUUGUGAGUGUUAAACUUGUGCCUAAACUCCACUUAAAUUUAAAAAGGUUAAAAACUGCAACUUUGCUACUUAGUGUCUAAUGAACCCCCUCUAGACACCUCUUCUCAAGGUCCUACAUUACCUUCAGUCGGCUGAUGCACGCGCGAGCGUCCGCCGCUUGCAUAGCCGUCUAAUCAAUCCUGAUCAAGCGGCCACGCUGACCACAAUUCAGUCCCGCGCAACCAGUCUUUUUCUUGCAAUAUGGGUCCUGUUUCACUAGAUUUCUGCAACACAGGACUAGUUUUAGAAAGAAAGAAAAAACGAUUCGGUGGUGAAGGUUUUUUUUCUGCUACCGGGGACUUGUUUCAAAAGAUUUCUGCAAUAUAUCUUUUGUUUUAGAGAAAAGAAAAGUUUCGGUUGUGAAGGGCUUUUUCUGCAACAAGGGUCUUGUUUCAGAAACAUAGCCCGAGUUGCAGCGCCGCAGGAGCGCCCGGCAUUAGAGGGUGAGUGGUCAGACAUUGCAACAUGAGGCACAUUUCAUAAACAUAGCUCUGGCUGCAGAAAACGCCGAAGAAGCGCCGGACGUGAGAGGUCGUCGCCGUCGUGCUCGAUUGGAGCUAGCAGCUUCUCGUGGGGCUGAGACGGAGGAAGAGGAGCAACUCCGGCAAGCACGACAAGGACUAGUUCCCCCGGUGCGCCGGUGGCAGCGAUUUUGUGGUGGCGGGGGCUGGCACCGCACUAGGCGCAGCUGUGUCAGGACGGCGGACAGGGGAAUCUGUUUCCGAAAUUGAGCGGUUGUUUUAGGAAGUAAGAAGGUGGUCACGCUCGUGGUGGUUAGAUCUGAAUGCUGUCAGAGCGUUGAUCCAAUGGAGCUCCAUGCGGCGGAUGUUUCUAAUACAUCCGCCAGUGGAUGUGUAGCGGCUCCCUUAAUCUAUUUAGACACCUUAAAAUACUGUCGAUCUUUAGAAAAAAAAGGCAAGGAAACAAUUGAGAAAAACAAAAGGCAAAACAAACCCACGUAAGUGAGCACGCCACAGUGGGUCGCCCCAUUAGUGGCUCAUUUCGGACGUUACUUCCAUUGGUCCAUAUAUCACCCUACCCCCACCCUGUGUGCAUUAUCAAGGCAAUUACCAUGCUGUUCUCCUACUGUUUAUCUUCAAAAAGUUACAUUCAGCUCUUUUGAAGUUGCUAAACUUAUUAUACAUGAAUAAAGUUACAUUGGGCCUGUUCAGAUCAAAGGGAUUAAAAUCACAUGUUUGAAACAUAAUAGGGGAAAUGAAAAGGAAGGCAGAUGCAAAACAUGAGAAUGCUACUUGUGAGCUGUGUUGGGAUUUUCCCGAAGAGGAGAGGAUGAUGUAGUACAGUAAAGAUAAGCAUUUCUCUCAGUUAGAAAACAAGUUUAUUAAUUCAGUAAGAGAACCAUGCAACAACUCGUUAGCAGCACCCGCACACAAAAUAACAAAUACUUGUACGCAACGCAAACAAGGGUUGUCAAUCCCUUGGCGGUUAAUUGCAAGGAUNNNNNNNNNNNNNNNNNNNNNNNNNNNNNNNNNNNNNNNNNNNNNNNNNNNNNNNNNNNNNNNNNNNNNNNNNNNNNNNNNNNNNNNNNNNNNNNNNNNNNNNNNNNNNNNNNNNNNNNNNNNNNNNNNNNNNNNNNNNNNNNNNNNNNNNNNNNNNNNNNNNNNNNNNNNNNNNNNNNNNNNNNNNNNNNNNNNNNNNNNNNNNNNNNNNNNNNNNNNNNNNNNNNNNNNNNNNNNNNNNNNNNNNNNNNNNNNNNNNNNNNNNNNNNNNNNNNNNNNNNNNNNNNNNNNNNNNNNNNNNNNNNNNNNNNNNNNNNNNNNNNNNNNNNNNNNNNNNNNNNNNNNNNNNNNNNNNNNNNNNNNNNNNNNNNNNNNNNNNNNNNNNNNNNNNNNNNNNNNNNNNNNNNNNNNNNNNNNNNNNNNNNNNNNNNNNNNNNNNNNNNNNNNNNNNNNNNNNNNNNNNNNNNNNNNNNNNNNNNNNNNNNNNNNNNNNNNNNNNNNNNNNNNNNNNNNNNNNNNNNNNNNNNNNNNNNNNNNNNNNNNNNNNNNNNNNNNNNNNNNNNNNNNNNNNNNNNNNNNNNNNNNNNNNNNNNNNNNNNNNNNNNNNNNNNNNNNNNNNNNNNNNNNNNNNNNNNNNNNNNNNNNNNNNNNNNNNNNNNNNNNNNNNNNNNNNNNNNNNNNNNNNNNNNNNNNNNNNNNCAUCUAGCUAGUAACUAUGAACCUGUAGGUUUGUGGUAAACUACUCACACAUCAUCGGAAGGGCAACAAAGUUGAUGUAGAGCCCCUCCGUGACUGAUUCCCCCUCCGACAUAGUGCCGAAAAAGGCCUCCAGAUGGGAUCUCUCAAGAACAUGAACUUGUGGUGGUGGAAAAAGUGUUUCGGGUGGCUCUCUAUUGGUUUCCCAAUUUUAGAGAAUUUAUAGAGGCAGAAUUAGGUCAAACGAGUGAACAUGGGCCCAACAAGCCACCAAAGCGCACCUACCCCCUGGGCGCGCCCUGGUGCCUUGUGGGCCACUCAUUCAUCUUCUGGCCCCCUCCCAAAGCUUCCAGGGUCUCUUAUGUCCAGAAAAAAUCUCUAAAAAGUUUUGUGGCAAUUGGAUUUCGUUUGGUACUGAUAUUCUGCAAAACCAAAAAUAGGUAAAAUACAACAACCGGCACUUGACACUAAGUUAAUAGGUUAGUUCCAAAAAAUGAUAUAUAUAUAUAUAUAGGUGCAUAUAAAACAUCCAAGAUUGAUACUAUAAUGACAUGUAACAAUAAAAAAUUAUAGAUACGUUGGAGACUUAUCACGGAACAAAAAAAUUGUCAGAAACUACACAGCUGUGUUCAGAAUGCAGGAUAAGGUAACCCACGAAAUCAACACAUGUUGGUCCCAUGCUUUGAGUUUUAAAUUUUACUGAAUGCUGCGUAUGUCGGCCACCAUGUCUAUAGGUCAACCAUUUCACAACCGAUGUGGGUCCCAGUAUGCGAAGGUCCGGUCGUUUUUUCCCUGUGCUGCCUCGGGACACCGCAAAAAAGUUGGGUAUGACCGGAUGUUUGGUUUCCUGUGAAAACGCGAGGAUAGAGAACUUUCUGGAGGAUUGGUUACACGAGAUUCCUUCGUUUAGAACGAGAGAAAAGAAAACCGUUCCUUGGGAAUAGCUUUCCUUUGGUUUUCCUGUGUUUUUCCUCUGUCCUGGGCAGGCCCUCACUGUCAAAAAAAAGUUGCUACAACUUACCACCCAUGAGGUAAAAGUUGUUAGUUUCAAAGAAACAAAGUUUUUGACAAAUCCAGACUCUUGAUUGCUAAGACUCAUGGGCCAAAUAGCCAAACACAUGCAAAUUCACCAUGGAUUGUCGGUUACCUUCCAUAUAAUGCAUAAAGAAAUAAGCCCCACAAUGCAUCUAAUUUAGUGGGGACAAAUUAAGAUAUAUUUUUGAGGGGAGGCAAACUAUGAUAAGUAAUCAACUUUUUUUUCACACUAAUAACUCCUAAUUUUUGUGUGCCCACAGAUCUCUCUAAUUGCAAAUCGCUCUCCAUUGCAAUAUUAUUUACCAUGAUGAUGAUGCCAUACAUGAGGACACUUGAGCGUGAUAAAGACGCGUGUUCCUGUGUCCUCAUAAAUAAAUUGUUAGAGUUCACCUUAUGCUUCUGCAAAAAAUGGUUUGGCCAAGUAACAAUAAUGCAUGAUUUUGGAUUACAUUUCAAAGUGUAAACAUUUCCCUUUUUCUUUUUGACAUGCAAAAUUUUUGGCAACUAUGCACAUACAUAUUUGCAUCUAAUAUAAUUUUUAUAUAUGGGUACACAAAAAGGAAAAACAUGCGGAUAUACGAUUGAGUUGAAACUUAAGAAGCAGAAAAUAAUUCUCUUUAUUCUCAUUCAUAGUAGAUAGCACCACAUAUGUUGAGCGCGCGGAGCUCACGUAUGCAUAUAUGCAUGCCACACAUCCAUGGAUGCAACAUGCAUAUUCAUGCCUAAUAGAUUUGUCUCUAGAUCUACUAAGACUGGUCCACAAUGGGGCAUCAUCCAAAGUUAUUAGCAGUCCCGAAGUUGCACUGCCCGGUGCGACGAGUAGUCUGACAAACUCCCACACAUCCGGGAACUCGGUUUCACCGAUUUGUUGUUUUCGGUCCAAUCGAAUCCUUUCGGUGCAACCGAAGCCUACAACUCGGUGCCACCGAUUUCACAACAGGAAAAUCAGUUUGCCACUUAUUCUGUGUUUAUUCUGAUCCAGCUCCACUCAAUGAAUCUUGUCCUCUACAAGCAUCAUUUUUUUUAUAAUUGCAUUAUGAUGUGACUCAAGGAUCAAACCCAUUCACGACAAAUUCCAGAGGGAGAGAGAGAGACUACAUCUUUAUCAAGCCCUUCUUGGAAAUUGAUGUCAAAGGGGGGGAGAGAGAUCACAUCAAAUCUUAUCAUUUAGAGAGAGAGAGAGAGUAUCACCUUCUCAGGGGGAGAGAGAUCUCCAGGGGGAGAGAAUACUAGUAGAGAGUAUUUCUCAAGGAUCCCAGAUGCUUGGUGUUCAAGAGGAGAGAUGCCACAUGUCUUCUUGAGGGGAGAGACAUGUUCAUAUGUUCAUAUGUGCUUAUUUGCAUUAGUUUGCAUUAACUCUGUUCAUUUAUAUCUUCCAGCUCUGAUUUUCUGUUCCCUAUCUUCUCCCAGUAUCCCAUGCUAGAUUCAGGGGGAGCAAGACAUCUAUCGGAAAUAAAUCAAUCAAAUUCGUUGCAUAUCUUUACUCUUGGGGACAUGUCUAAUCCAAUGUAGUACUUAGUACUCACUCUCUACAUGUCAUCCCAGCCUUGGUAUUCUUAUGGUUUCUUUUGUUUGCUCUGGCUAGUAGAUGUAUCUAUGUUAUCUAACCUUGUUUAUGCAGGUUCAUUCCAUCCUAAGCCAACUCAAGACUACAAGGUAAGUAUAUGCAUCACCAUCAUGUGUAUGAGGAAUUCUUGCUGAUGUACAUACUGUUUGCAAGAAGGACUCUUGGGCAUGAAGGUAUUUCCUUUAAUACUUUUUGCUCUCAUGCAUAUGGCCAAGAUACAUGUAAGACAUUGCCUGCUCUAUCAUGGUUAUGCUAUCACAUGCUUCUAUAGUUCAUGUUCACAUGACUGCAUACAUGUAGGGGGAGCCUAUGCUUGUUACAUGUCUUUCCAAAGCUUUACUUGCUAUUCUUUAUAUCUCUAUCUAAAGCUUUGAUGUAUGUUGUCAUCAAUUACCAAAAAGGGGGAGAUUGAAAGCACAAGUGCUCCCUAGGUGGUUUUGGUAAUUAAUGUCAACAUAUCUCUUGUUGGACUAACACUUUUAUCUAGUAUGUUUCAGAUAAGUUCAACAAUGGAGUGGCAUGGACUAAAGGAUGUGGGAACUCUUUCAAGAUGCUAAGGACAAAGGAUUGGCUCAAGCUUCAAGCUCAAGACUCUUCAUUUUACAUUUUAGUGAUCCAAGAUCAUAUUGAGUCUAUAGGAAAAGCCAAUACUAUCAAGGAGGGAUGAGGUGUUGCUUAAUGAGCCUCUUGCUUCAAGUGCUUAGUGAUAUGCUCCAAAUACCCUCAACUACUUUCUCACUUCCACACAUAUGUCCUAAACCCAGAGUCAAACUCAUCCCCACUGAUUCUUCCUAUCUGGCGCCACCGAGUUUUGGAUGACUUAGCGACUGCCACAAACCCUAGGCAAAUCGGUCUCACCGAUAGGGAUCUCGGUCUCACCGAGAUGGGAUUGUAACCUCUUUGUGUAUGUCCAUUAUCAAAAUUGGUCUCACCGAGUUUGAGCAAUCGGUACUACCGAGAUUACAAUGCAAACUUUUUGGUUGACUCAUUAUCAAAAUCGGUCCCACCGAGUUUGAGUAAUCGGUCCAACCGAGUUUGCCUGACCAACUCUCUGGUUAGCUAAUUACCAAAAUUGGUCUCACUGAGUUUGUGUAAUCGGUCUCACCGAGAUUACGUUAUGCCCUAACCCUAACCAUAUCGGUCCUACCGAGUUGCAUUUCAGUCCCACCGAAAAUCCUAACGGUCACUAGAUUUGCUGAAUCGGUCUGAUCGAGUUUCCCAAUUCGGUCCCAUCGAGUUUGGCAAGUUGUGUGUAACGGUUAGAUUUUGUGUGGAGGCUAUAUAUACCCCUCCACCCCCUCUUCAUUCGUGGAGAGAGCCAUCAGAACAAACCUACACUUCCAACUUACUAUUUCUGAGAGAGAACUACCUACUCAUGUGUUGAGGCCAAGAUAUUCCAUUCCUACCAUAUGAAUCUUGAUCUCUAGCCUUCCCCAAGUUGCUUUCCACUCAAACCCUCUUUCCACCAGAUCCAAAUCCUAUGAGUGAGAGUUGAGUGUUAGGGAGACUAUCAUUUGAAGCACAAGAGCAAGGAGUUCAUCAUCAACGCACCAUUUGUUACUUCUUGAAGAGUGGUGUCUCCUAGAUUGGCUAGGUGUCACUUGGGAGCCUCCGACAAGAUUGUGGAGUUGAACCAAGGAGUUUGUAAGGGCAAGGAGAUCGCCUACUUCGUGAAGAUCUACCGCUAGUGAGGCAAGUCCUUCGUGGGCGAUGGCCAUGGUGGGAUAGACAAGGUUGCUUCUUCGUGGACCCUUCGUGGGUGGAGCCCUCCGUAGACUCGUGCAACCGUUAUCCUUCGUGGGUUGAAAUCUCCAUCAACGUGGAUGUACGAUAGCACCACCUAUCGGAACCACGCCAAAAAUAUCCGUGUCUCCAAUUGCGUUUGAUUCCUCCAAACCCUUCCCUUUACAUUCUUGCAAGUCGCAUGCUUUACUUUCCGCUGCUCAUAUACUCUUUGCAUGCUUGCUUGAUAUGUGUUGUGAGUGUUAAACUUGUGCCUAAACUCCACUUAAAUUUAAAAAGGUUAAAAACUGCAACUUUGCUACUUAGUGUCUAAUGAACCCCCUCUAGACACCUCUUCUCAAGGUCCUACAUUACCUUCAGUCGGCUGAUGCACGCGCGAGCGUCCGCCGCUUGCAUAGCCGUCUAAUCAAUCCUGAUCAAGCGGCCACGCUGACCACAAUUCAGUCCCGCGCAACCAGUCUUUUUCUUGCAAUAUGGGUCCUGUUUCACUAGAUUUCUGCAACACAGGACUAGUUUUAGAAAGAAAGAAAAAACGAUUCGGUGGUGAAGGUUUUUUUUCUGCUACCGGGGACUUGUUUCAAAAGAUUUCUGCAAUAUAUCUUUUGUUUUAGAGAAAAGAAAAGUUUCGGUUGUGAAGGGCUUUUUUUGCAACAAGGGUCUUGUUUCAGAAACAUAGCCCGAGUUGCAGCGCCGCAGGAGCGCCCGGCAUUAGAGGGUGAGUGGUCAGACAUUGCAACAUGCGGCACAUUUCAUAAACAUAGCUCUGGUUGCAGAAAACGCCGAAGAAGCGCCGGACGUGAGAGGUCGUCGCCGUCGUGCUCGAUUGGAGCUAGCAGCUUCUCGUGGGGCUGAGACGGAGGAAGAGGAGCAACUCCGGCAAGCACGACAAGGACUAGUUCCCCCGGUGCGCCGGUGGCAGCGAUUUUGUGGUGGCGGGGGCUGGCGCCGCACUAGGCGCAGCUGUGUCAGGACGGCGGACAGGGGAAUCUGUUUCCGAAAUUGAGCGGUUGUUUUAGGAAGUAAGAAGGUGGUCACGCUCGUGGUGGUUAGAUCUGAAUGCUGUCAGAGCGUUGAUCCAAUGGAGCUCCAUGCGGCGGAUGUUUCUAAUACAUCCGCCAGUGGAUGUGUAGCGGCUCCCUUAAUCUAUUUAGACACCUUAAAAUACUGUCGAUCUUUAGAAAAAAAAGGCAAGGAAACAAUUGAGAAAAACAAAAGGCAAAACAAACCCACGUAAGUGAGCACGCCACAGUGGGUCGCCCCAUUAGUGGCUCAUUUCGGACGUUACUUCCAUUGGUCCAUAUAUCACCCUACCCCCACCCUGUGUGCAUUAUCAAGGCAAUUACCAUGCUGUUCUCCUACUGUUUAUCUUCAAAAAGUUACAUUCAGCUCUUUUGAAGUUGCUAAACUUAUUAUACAUGAAUAAAGUUACAUUGGGCCUGUUCAGAUCAAAGGGAUUAAAAUCACAUGUUUGAAACAUAAUAGGGGAAAUGAAAAGGAAGGCAGAUGCAAAACAUGAGAAUGCUACUUGUGAGCUGUGUUGGGAUUUUCCCGAAGAGGAGAGGAUGAUGUAGUACAGUAAAGAUAAGCAUUUCUCUCAGUUAGAAAACAAGUUUAUUAAUUCAGUAAGAGAACCAUGCAACAACUCGUUAGCAGCACCCGCACACAAAAUAACAAAUACUUGUACGCAACGCAAACAAGGGUUGUCAAUCCCUUGGCGGUUAAUUGCAAGGAUNNNNNNNNNNNNNNNNNNNNNNNNNNNNNNNNNNNNNNNNNNNNNNNNNNNNNNNNNNNNNNNNNNNNNNNNNNNNNNNNNNNNNNNNNNNNNNNNNNNNNNNNNNNNNNNNNNNNNNNNNNNNNNNNNNNNNNNNNNNNNNNNNNNNNNNNNNNNNNNNNNNNNNNNNNNNNNNNNNNNNNNNNNNNNNNNNNNNNNNNNNNNNNNNNNNNNNNNNNNNNNNNNNNNNNNNNNNNNNNNNNNNNNNNNNNNNNNNNNNNNNNNNNNNNNNNNNNNNNNNNNNNNNNNNNNNNNNNNNNNNNNNNNNNNNNNNNNNNNNNNNNNNNNNNNNNNNNNNNNNNNNNNNNNNNNNNNNNNNNNNNNNNNNNNNNNNNNNNNNNNNNNNNNNNNNNNNNNNNNNNNNNNNNNNNNNNNNNNNNNNNNNNNNNNNNNNNNNNNNNNNNNNNNNNNNNNNNNNNNNNNNNNNNNNNNNNNNNNNNNNNNNNNNNNNNNNNNNNNNNNNNNNNNNNNNNNNNNNNNNNNNNNNNNNNNNNNNNNNNNNNNNNNNNNNNNNNNNNNNNNNNNNNNNNNNNNNNNNNNNNNNNNNNNNNNNNNNNNNNNNNNNNNNNNNNNNNNNNNNNNNNNNNNNNNNNNNNNNNNNNNNNNNNNNNNNNNNNNNNNNNNNNNNNNNNNNNNNNNNNNNNNNNNNNNNNNNNNNNNNNNNNNNNNNNNNNNNNNNNNNNNNNNNNNNNNNNNNNNNNNNNNNNNNNNNNNNNNNNNNNNNNNNNNNNNNNNNNNNNNNNNNNNNNNNCAUCUAGCUAGUAACUAUGAACCUGUAGGUUUGUGGUAAACUACUCACACAUCAUCGGAAGGGCAACAAAGUUGAUGUAGAGCCCCUCCGUGACUGAUUCCCCCUCCGACAUAGUGCCGAAAAAGGCCUCCAGAUGGGAUCUCUCAAGAACAUGAACUUGUGGUGGUGGAAAAAGUGUUUCGGGUGGCUCUCUAUUGGUUUCCCAAUUUUAGAGAAUUUAUAGAGGCAGAAUUAGGUCAAACGAGUGAACAUGGGCCCAACAAGCCACCAAAGCGCACCUACCCCCUGGGCGCGCCCUGGUGCCUUGUGGGCCACUCAUUCAUCUUCUGGCCCCCUCCCAAAGCUUCCAGGGUCUCUUAUGUCCAGAAAAAAUCUCUAAAAAGUUUUGUGGCAAUUGGAUUUCGUUUGGUACUGAUAUUCUGCAAAACCAAAAAUAGGUAAAAUACAACAACCGGCACUUGACACUAAGUUAAUAGGUUAGUUCCAAAAAAUGAUAUAUAUAUAUAUAUAGGUGCAUAUAAAACAUCCAAGAUUGAUACUAUAAUGACAUGUAACAAUAAAAAAUUAUAGAUACGUUGGAGACUUAUCACGGAACAAAAAAAUUGUCNNNNNNNNNNNNNNNNNNNNNNNNNNNNNNNNNNNNNNNNNNNNNNNNNNNNNNNNNNNNNNNNNNNNNNNNNNNNNNNNNNNNNNNNNNNNNNNNNNNNNNNNNNNNNNNNNNNNNNNNNNNNNNNNNNNNNNNNNNNNNNNNNNNNNNNNNNNNNNNNNNNNNNNNNNNNNNNNNNNNNNNNNNNNNNNNNNNNNNNNNNNNNNNNNNNNNNNNNNNNNNNNNNNNNNNNNNNNNNNNNNNNNNNNNNNNNNNNNNNNNNNNNNNNNNNNNNNNNNNNNNNNNNNNNNNNNNNNNNNNNNNNNNNNNNNNNNNNNNNNNNNNNNNNNNNNNNNNNNNNNNNNNNNNNNNNNNNNNNNNNNNNNNNNNNNNNNNNNNNNNNNNNNNNNNNNNNNNNNNNNNNNNNNNNNNNNNNNNNNNNNNNNNNNNNNNNNNNNNNNNNNNNNNNNNNNNNNNNNNNNNNNNNNNNNNNNNNNNNNNNNNNNNNNNNNNNNNNNNNNNNNNNNNNNNNNNNNNNNNNNNNNNNNNNNNNNNNNNNNNNNNNNNNNNNNNNNNNNNNNNNNNNNNNNNNNNNNNNNNNNNNNNNNNNNNNNNNNNNNNNNNNNNNNNNNNNNNNNNNNNNNNNNNNNNNNNNNNNNNNNNNNNNNNNNNNNNNNNNNNNNNNNNNNNNNNNNNNNNNNNNNNNNNNNNNNNNNNNNNNNNNNNNNNNNNNNNNNNNNNNNNNNNNNNNNNNNNNNNNNNNNNNNNNNNNNNNNNNNNNNNNNNNNNNNNNNNNNNNNNNNNNNNNNNNNNNNNNNNNNNNNNNNNNNNNNNNNNNNNNNNNNNNNNNNNNNNNNNNNNNNNNNNNNNNNNNNNNNNNNNNNNNGAAACUACACAGCUGUGUUCAGAAUGCAGGAUAAGGUAACCCACGAAAUCAACACAUGUUGGUCCCAUGCUUUGAGUUUUAAAUUUUACUGAAUGCUGCGUAUGUCGGCCACCAUGUCUAUAGGUCAACCAUUUCACAACCGAUGUGGGUCCCAGUAUGCGAAGGUCCGGUCGUUUUUUCCCUGUGCUGCCUCGGGACACCGCAAAAAAGUUGGGUAUGACCGGAUGUUUGGUUUCCUGUGAAAACGCGAGGAUAGAGAACUUUCUGGAGGAUUGGUUACACGAGAUUCCUUCGUUUAGAACGAGAGAAAAGAAAACCGUUCCUUGGGAAUAGCUUUCCUUUGGUUUUCCUGUGUUUUUCCUCUGUCCUGGGCAGGCCCUCACUGUCAAAAAAAAGUUGCUACAACUUACCACCCAUGAGGUAAAAGUUGUUAGUUUCAAAGAAACAAAGUUUUUGACAAAUCCAGACUCUUGAUUGCUAAGACUCAUGGGCCAAAUAGCCAAACACAUGCAAAUUCACCAUGGAUUGUCGGUUACCUUCCAUAUAAUGCAUAAAGAAAUAAGCCCCACAAUGCAUCUAAUUUAGUGGGGACAAAUUAAGAUAUAUUUUUGAGGGGAGGCAAACUAUGAUAAGUAAUCAACUUUUUUUUCACACUAAUAACUCCUAAUUUUUGUGUGCCCACAGAUCUCUCUAAUUGCAAAUCGCUCUCCAUUGCAAUAUUAUUUACCAUGAUGAUGAUGCCAUACAUGAGGACACUUGAGCGUGAUAAAGACGCGUGUUCCUGUGUCCUCAUAAAUAAAUUGUUAGAGUUCACCUUAUGCUUCUGCAAAAAAUGGUUUGGCCAAGUAACAAUAAUGCAUGAUUUUGGAUUACAUUUCAAAGUGUAAACAUUUCCCUUUUUCUUUUUGACAUGCAAAAUUUUUGGCAACUAUGCACAUACAUAUUUGCAUCUAAUAUAAUUUUUAUAUAUGGGUACACAAAAAGGAAAAACAUGCGGAUAUACGAUUGAGUUGAAACUUAAGAAGCAGAAAAUAAUUCUCUUUAUUCUCAUUCAUAGUAGAUAGCACCACAUAUGUUGAGCGCGCGGAGCUCACGUAUGCAUAUAUGCAUGCCACACAUCCAUGGAUGCAACAUGCAUAUUCAUGCCUAAUAGAUUUGUCUCUAGAUCUACUAAGACUGGUCCACAAUGGGGCAUCAUCCAAAGUUAUUAGCAGUCCCGAAGUUGCACUGCCCGGUGCGACGAGUAGUCUGACAAACUCCCUUUGCAUCUCCCUGGGCAGGUUCAUGAGGCCACUCUCACCAGGUAGAGACGACGCAAGAAGCCUUAUGAAGUAACGCGGAGCCUCGCACCAACAUUGCUGAAUUUUUUUUGCAAGCUCACAGGAGCAAUUCAAUUUGGCGAGGUAUGGCUUCCUGGGGGAGUAGACCGACGCUAAUGUCAUCUCUUAGGGUAACCGCGACCCGGCUCUGUAGACACCAAAUGUUUGUUGUGAGAAUAGUCACAACAGCUUGGGAGCGGAUUGGUCAGAAAAGCCACCCUUGGACGCAGCAGCCGGGUGCGGCAUCAGUGACAAAGAUGGAGAGUAGGACGACGACCAAGAGGAGGAGACGACCAUUGGACUUGGACGCCAUUUUAAUUUUGCUAGUUUCAAUUCGUUGAUGUAGUUUCUCGAGGUUGUGAACGACAUUAGUUGGUGAAGCUGGACAUGCCACACUUGCUCUCAUACAUCUUUCCUACUUAUAAAUGUUGGAGUUGAUGGUGAGUUCACAUGGAGAUCAACAAUAGAAAUUAAAAAAGCAGUUCUGCCCACAUGAGGGAUCACCAAACUUCCAAGAGACUUGAGUAAACAAAUGCAUUUUUAGUUACAUGCUAGACCUAGCACAAAUAAACAGAUACACUAAUAGCUUAAUGUGAGACCAACACUCCUGUGAGAAACACAAGUAACAAAUGUGGAAAUGUGAAUCAAAGUCAAAAUCAUGCUCUUGGUUUUAGCCCCCCUACCCCCACUGAUUUAUUCCAAUUAGAUAUCAACUGCAAUAAGAUCUGUCGUUAUAUUUUCCACUCUCUUUAAUCAUGAACCAUGCAAUAGCGGCAAGACAACAACGUAUUUUAAUAAUCUUAUAAGAAGGUAGUUUAAAUUCUUGUCUUUUUGUGGCUCAUAGCAACACAAGGACAUUUUGCUAGUGCCUAGAGAAAAGCAAGAGAUGCACAACUGACAAUUGAAAUUUGAUGUGUUAUAUGGCGACUAUGGUGAACUGAAGUGCACUUAGUCAAUUAGUUGGAACAUAAUUUGGAGGGGAAUGCAAGCUAGCUUAUGUGCAAGCAGUGAGAGAUUCAUAGCUGCUCCAGCCUACCUUGUUGGCAAUCGUUGAUGUUGCAUUCUUUUCUUAUUUUGUCAAGUUAUCACUAGUACCUAAAGUGGAGGUUUAAUUAAGAUGUAGCUAGUUUAUGCGCGAGAGUUGAUAAACCAACGACGGACAAAGUUAGUUUUAUCAUGUUGUGGGCACACAUGUGACGACUGUAUGUGUGAGCAACCUUGUAAACCAUUGUUUUACAAACCGUCAUGGCGACCGUGCACAUGUGCGGUCCUCAUGUGUUGAGUGAGUGGUUUCACAAAUGUACACAUUAUGUAAUAAAUGUUAAAAAAUAAUACAUUAUUAUAACCAUAAAAAUAUGAUGGCCAAAAUAUCAUAUAUGAUUGUCGGCGGUCAAUCACCGUUGAUCUUACAUUCUACCAUGGAGUCGUGAAGAAUAAUAGAGAUCCCAUCAACACAAUGGAGAUAUAGAUUUACACAAGUUUGGAUAGUCGGAUGGUUAAUAUCCCUAUGUCAGGCUUAAAGAUUCUAGUGAUGAGUGGAGACUUACAAGGUGGCUGAAACUAUAAAGAAAACAGGGCCACACGAGUGUAUUCUCAUGGAAGGAGAUGAUUAUUGGUGAGGGUCGUGGAUGACCCCUUCCGGUAACAAGGAAAUUACCUUCCAAUGAUACGAGAUAAUUUGAUAUCACGGAUUCACAAGGAAAUGAUCUCCCGAACCAGCAUAAUUCCCAACAUAACGUGUCUAACAUUAUCUUCUCUGAGUGUCUAUUGUAGCACGACUUGAGACAUGACUUUUAUGUCGACUUGGUCUAUCCAUGACCGUAGGGUUCACCAUACACCGUUACUCGCAUAAAAAUGUGGUUAACAUCUUUAAUCAUCUUCAAUUUAUGAGAGAACAAUUAUUAUGUUAUUUUCAAAUGUCUUGUCUUAAUGACCAUAUGUGUUGUUUGUACAUGAUAUUAGAUUAAUAUAUAGAAUUAAAGUCAUCCAGUGAGCUAGCAUGUAGUUUUCAUCUGAUUUUGUAUCAAUACGUGAAGUUAACAUUCAGAUUGUCAAUUGUCAUUUUUAGGCAUAUAGCUAAGAUGAUGUACAUAUUGUGAUUAAAGUAAUGCAAAAGCAAUGGGUAGAGUAUGUUUUGAUAGUCUAAAUAACAAGUUUCCUUCGUGAUUGGAGUAAAAUAUAAUUAUCCCCAUUAACAGGUAGGGUAACUAAACACUGAGAAAUUUCAUUUGAAUAUCUUUCUUGACAUUUUUCGUACUCCCAUCUACUAGCUACAUUUUGAAAUACCUAUCAUUUUAGUGAUGGAUAUAGUCUUUAGGAUACAACUUUGAUCCCUCUUUUAGCAUUUGGAAAUGGUGCUACAAAUAAGAUUAAAAAAUAUUUAACACAAAUGUAAUAAAAAAAUUCAGAAUAUUUGUUGCGAUACCUAUGAUGAAUUAUUGGUUAGGGUAUGCUAUAAAAAAGGGCCCAUCCGAUUGAAAAACAUAUGGUUGGAACUUUUUUGGUAUAUUCCCCGAACAUUAUUGUGCCUUUAUAUACAGUUGAUAGAUUCAUGAAUUCGAGAUUAUGGUACGUGAACGUUGGAUUUCCCUUGAGGGGGUUCAAUGUUGUAUCUCCAUCUACCUCAUCUAAAAAUAGUCAAUUCUGGAGUAUGUGACCAUACUAAGCAUAUGCUUAAUCUUAGAAAAAUAGACAACCAGAUGCUCGUGAUUUAUAGAGACUUUAUUUUACUUAUGCAGGUGUGGGACUUUCAAGUUUUUUUAAUCUUAUAUAAGACUUAGGCGGCUCAAAAUAUGCAUAUAUUUGUGUACUCUAAUUAGUAAUGUUAUUGUCUUUCUGUUAUUUUGAAUAUUGUGUAUAGACCAAUUCAUAACUUGGCAUCCAUUUUAUCCAUAACAUCAUCGUUUAUCGUAUGGCUCCUGCAACGUCAAGAUACAUGCACUGUUUGUUGUUGCAAAAUUACAAAUAUACGUCUAUCUUUAUCAUUGAUUGUCAAACGGUGCAUGUAUUGUGACAAGCAAUGAUAAAGAUAACAAUAAUGCUACAAAAUCACCAAACAUAUGAGCACAAGAUAGAGUUAAAAUUUAAGACCCACUAAACCAUUUUUUUAUUGGCAUUCAAGGUAGAUAGCACCACACAUGCCGUACAUCCAUGGGUGAAACAUUCUUAUUCAUGAGCAAAAGAUUUAUCUUUACAUGUCGAUAGCAAGGCAGUAUGGAGCAUUGUCAACAGGUCCUCAAGUUACAUUGGCUCGGCGUGACAAGUACUCUAACGAAGUCCCUUUUCGGCUCCCUAGGGCAUUGGGGAAGGUUCAUGAGUCCACUCUUCUCGGGACAAGAUGGCUCCUGCCCCAUGAAGUAGCACAACGCCUCGCAACGACACCAAUCUGAAAUCUGUGAAAGCUCUAGGCAACACGUUAUCGGCAUAUCGCCGACUUGCUGCGCCACAGGUUUGUUGUGCCACAUAGUCACGAUAGCCUUGUAGCGGCAUGCUUACCCAUCCCUAGGAAGCAGUGAUUUGGUUUGGUGGUAGCGGUGGCGGCAAAGAUGGAGACUAGGACCAGGGGCCAAGAGGAGGAGACUCCAGUUGUACGUGGACUCCAUGUUAUUUUCUAGCCACAUCCGGCUAGUUUGUGUAAUUUCUUGAGGUUGCGCACCAUAUUGGUGGGUGUAAGCUAGAUGUACCACACUUGCAUGCAUAUAUACCCAAAGAAAAAGUAAUAGAGGGAGUGCUAGCACUAAUUAACUAUAUUUGUGUGUUACAUGACAAUUAUGAUGAACUAGAGUGCACUUAAUUAAUUUGUUGGAACAAAAUUAGGAGGGAAACAAAAUUUAGCUUGUGCGUGGAAGGCGAGAGAUUCAUAGCCGCUCGAGCCUAGCGUCGUCGACGGAAACAUCUCCUCCCACUGAAAGCGCAUCGUCGGAAAUCCUGAAAUAAAUUCAGAAAUAAUGCGAGCACUAGGACUUGAACCCUGGUGAGCUGCGGAUACCACUGUCCCUCUAAUCAUCCAACCACAGGUUGAUUCGCUCUUCUAUAGUCAAGUUGAAAUAAUAUUUGAAGUGGAACCUACUUCAAUUAAGCUAGAUUAUGCGUGCGGGUGCUGCUAAACCAACAACCUAGUUUAUUUCUGAGUGUUGUGUGUGAGAGAAAAUGUGAUGAUUGUGUGUGAGCAACUUUGCAAAACAUUAUUUUCAAAUUAACCGUAAAAUCAAACAUCUGUAGGCAUUAAUCGUCUAUGAAAGAUGCUACUAGUAACCUUUGGACCUCUCUCUUCUUACAUGUGAAAAGACUCCAAAAAUAGUUCACAUGUAGUUUUGUUUUCAUUUAUUUAAUAAUCCCAAACUUAGAUAAAUCAUAACAUUAUCUACACAGAUCUUUUCAAACUGUUAUUUACUCAUAUGUUGUUGCGACUUAUAAGACUAGUGUAAUCGAUAACUACACAGUAUUGUUUGGGGCAAAGAAGUUAUCGUAUCUGUUUUGGCAUUGCUUAAGAAAGAAUAUUUGUUGCUAUUAUCGCUCGUGGGAUGGGUAACCUUAGGUCACACAUGAAAAAUUUCUAUUGCCGCAAACACUUAUAUUUGAGGGGCCAACGGCAUAAUAUCAAGCAACAUUUUAUCGAAUACACCGUGAAAAGGUGUAUCAUGAGUCAAGCCAAGCGGCUAUUACAAUGCCUUUCAGCAAACAACGCUACAGGUGUACAAUUCACACUACGACUACAACAACAAAAGGCACAACUUGUCCAACAUCUAGACAUAAAUGGUGAGGAAGCUGGGAGUAUCAGGACUGCAUCUAUAGCACAACUAUUUAACUCCACCACAAUCCGCAUAAAUGUACCCCGGCCAUGCGCCUAGAGGAUUCAGCAACCAGUAUUGAUGCCACGUUGGAUGCAAGAAAUUUAAAAAACUAGGAAACAAAUUAUAAAAAAAAAUUAACAGUUGGACGCUUCUUGAUUUUUCUCAUGAUUUCGACCAUCAAACACAUGAAUAAAAUAUCCGAGAUGAACUUUAAGAAGCAGAAUCCCUUAAUUAUCAUCCAUGCGCCUAGAAUAUUUGUCGGUAUGGUAUUGAUGUCACAUUGGAGGCGGCAGGGCAUAUUAGAGGAUAUUCGGGCGGGUGGUGGUAUGGAUAAUUUUAUCCGGAAUCUGCCUGGUGCCCACCCUUCAACCCCAUUUGAUCAAUUUGCCAUUUACCCAAUAAUUGAUCUGAAUGCGGGCAACUAUUAUUUAUUUUUUAGAGAAAAGGCAAACACCCGACUUUAUAAAUAAAGCCAUAAGGCAGGUAGCAGCAACAUCACAGAUUAGUAUCAAACACCCCCAAGCCCCAAUGACGGGCAGAACGACAAAAGAAAAAGUCAAGUACAUGGCUCCCUCGCCAGUACAUGGCAACUAUUAUUUAUCAUUUACAAAUAUAGCCUUGUAUAUGCUGCUCACUGGAAAUAAAAGGCUGGACAAAAAUGUAGAAAUGUUAUUAGCUGUUGGAGAUUUUGCUAAUAAUUUUGACCACCAAAGACAUGAAUUAAAGAUCUGAGUUGAGUUUAAGAAGCGAAAAUGAUUCCCUUUAUUCUUAUCCAUAUAUGUAGCACAUAGCACCACACAUGAUGAGCGCGCGGAGCUCGUCCUAUAUGCAUAUAUGCAUGUCACACAUGUAUGGUCGCAACAUGCUUAUUUAUUCAUGAGCGAGAGAAUUGUCUCUAGCUCCACUGAGACUCCUCCAUAGCGAGGCAGUACGGAGUGUUGUGAACGGUCGUCAAGUUGCAGUACCCCGGCGUGACGAGUAUCCUCACGAAGUCCAUCUGCACCUCCCUAGGGCAUCCGGGGAGUUCCAUGAGGCCGCUCUGAUCCGGACGAGACUUCGGCCCCAUGAAGUAGCGCAGCGCCUGGCAUCGGCACUGCUGCGGAAUGUUUGCAAGCUCCCCACAGCACUGCUGCUUGGCGAGGUACGGCGACCCGGGCGUUUCGAUGCGACAUGCUUGUUGUUCCACAUAGUCACGGCAGCUUGGGAGUGGAGUGAUCAGAGUACUCAUCCAUGGGGUGCAAUCUUCAUUGCCGAUGGCGGCAACGGCGGCAAAGAUGGAGACUAGGACGGCGGCCAAGAGGAGAACGCAGUUGGACUUGGACGCCAUAUUUGUUUUGACAGGCCCAGUUCGUUGGUAUAGGUUUGUUUUGUCACUGCGCUGGUGGGUGUAUGCUACACGUACCACACUUGCAUGUAUAUAUACUCCUAGAAAGGUAUAAGAAAAGCAGAGCUGGUAGCAAUUAACUAAAUUUGUAGUGUUAUAUGAUGAUUAUGAUGAGCUAGAGUGCACUUAAUUAAUUAGUUGGAACCGAAUUUGGAGGGGAAUGCAAGCUGGCUUUUGCCUGUAAGCAGUGAGAGAUUCCUAGCCGCUAGAGCCUGCCAUGGUUGAUGUGGCAUUCUUUUCUUCUCUUGUCUAGUUGUCAUCAGUACUUAAAAGUGGAGCAUCAAUUAAGCUUGCUAGUUUAUGCGUGAGACUGUAGCUAAACCAACAACGGACUUUGUUUUUGCAUGCUGUGAUAGAGCAAACAUGUGGCUAAUUUUUUUAAAUAAUACAUUUUUCUAAUUAAUUUGCAUAAAUAUUACGCCGAUAUUUUUAUUUUUAAAAAUAAUAAAACAUCGGCCCGCUGCAGGCCGACUGAGUCUAGUCGGCCCACCGCAGGGACUAAUUGGCUUGCUGGGAACCAAUUAGUCCAGUCGGCCUCAGGCCGACUGGAAGCCAAUCGGCCUGCGAUGGGCCGACUAGGUGCAUUUGGCCAUUUUUGGUUUUAGUUGUUGUUUUCUAUUUACUCUAGCUAUCAAAUGAAUAUAGUUUGUGUUGAAACUUUUUGCAUAAAUUACUAGCAAUAUUAACAAGCCACAUAUAAAUUUUCAUAAUUUUUGGAAAACCACAUUUUUACAAUUGUAUUUGAUAGCUCCUGGUGAAUAUAGAUAGGGUAUAAAUUUAUCUAUCCAAAUUGUUUUUUUAUUUUUAUAGAUGUUAAAAUAUCGAGGAGAAUAAUUUAAAUUUUUUUGUGCAACAAUUUGAGAAUACUUUUUUUGGUUUAUGAAACAAUUUGAGAAUUUUCCUCAAACUGUUUCACAAAAAUUGUUUCAUAUUGUUUCAAAUUGUUUCAUAAGCCAAAACAAAUUCCUCAAAUUGUUUCAAAAAAAUGUUAAACCAUUCUUCUCAAUAUUUUAAUAUUUAUAAAAAUAAAAAAAUCAAUUUGGAUAAUUAAAUUUAAACCCUAUCUAUAUUCACCAGGAGUUAUCAAAUGUAAAAAUGUGGUUUUCCAAAAAUUAUGAAAAUUUAUAUGUGGCUUGUUAAUAUUGCUAGUAAUUUAUGCAAAAAGUUUCAACAGAAACCAGAUUCAUUUGAUAGCUAGAAUAAAUAGAAAACAACAACUAAAACCAAAAACAGAAAAAAAAAUGGCCACAUGCACCUAGUCAGCCCACCGCGGGCCGAUUGGCUUCCAGUCGGCCCGCAGCAAGCCGACUGGAACUAAUUGGCUUGCUGCGAACCAAUUAGUGCCCAGUCGACUUGUUGCGGGCCGACUGGAGGCCAAUCAGCCCGCGGUGGGCCGACUAGGCUCAGUCGGCCUGCAGCGGGCCGAUGGUGUAUUAUUUUUGAAAAUAAAAAUAUCGGCGUAAUAUUUAUGCAAAUUAAUUAAAUAAAUGUAUUAUUUAAUAAAAAAUAGCAAACAUGUGACGGCAGUGUGGGUGAGCAACUUUGCAAAGCAUUGUUUUGGAAGGGCGGAUAGGGGCCAGUCAACCGGCCCAAAAUUCGGCCGGUCACCGCGCAGCCAUAGGAUCCUCACGGCCGUGGCCGUCUGAUGCGUUUCCCAUCAUCCUUUGACUCUCCCUCUUCGCAUAUGAAAAAGGCAAGCACACAAAAAAAAUGGCAGCCACCCCUCCCUCUCCCCAUGGCGAUGGUGGCGUCGACGGUGUCGCUCGCAACCAAAAAGUUAGGGUAGCAAAACAAAAAUGCUGGUUGUUCCAGCAAAAGUAGAAGACGGUGGUAGCAAAAAAUUAGUCUGCCUCCAGCAAAAAUCAACAGACAGUAGCAAUUUUCUAUUUGGUUCUAACAAAAUCAAAAGAAGGUAGUAGCAAAAAUUGAGGCAGGCUCCAACAAAAAAUUUUACCUCGUCGGCUUUCCAGCAAAAAGAAAUUUGGCCGCCGGUGGUAGCUUUCCCGCUCGCGGUUGCAACAAAUUCAUAGCCCGUCAUCGCCAGUCACACUUCAUCAUUUCCUGGUUGUAGGAAAACCGGGCGCCGAUGGUAUCUUUCCUCGUUGCCCCUUGCAGCAAAAGUCGUGGCGCCGGCCACGCUGGCCUGGUAGUAGCAAAUCCGGUUGUUGAUGGUAGUUUUCUCAGUUGCCCGUUGUAGCAAAAACCACGGCGCCGUCAUAGUCGGGCACGCUUAUUGUCGCUUUGUUGCAGCAACUUCGGCCACUGGUGGUAGCUUUCCUGGUGCCGGUUGCAGCGAAUCACAUCGCCAGUUGCAGUGUCAGCACCGGUGGCCACCACCUCCNNNNNNNNNNNNNNNNNNNNNNNNNNNNNNNNNNNNNNNNNNNNNNNNNNNNNNNNNNNNNNNNNNNNNNNNNNNNNNNNNNNNNNNNNNNNNNNNNNNNNNNNNNNNNNNNNNNNNNNNNNNNNNNNNNNNNNNNNNNNNNNNNNNNNNNNNNNNNNNNNNNNNNNNNNNNNNNNNNNNNNNNNNNNNNNNNNNNNNNNNNNNNNNNNNNNNNNNNNNNNNNNNNNNNNNNNNNNGGACGACCAUGGCUUCCCCGGGUUGCAUCAGCCCCUGAGUAUUCCUCGCAACGGCGGUGUACGCGGUGGGGGCAAUCGGCUGCCAACCCGCCCAUCUCGACCCGAUCUAGAUGCAAAAAAGGGUGGCACAUGUAACCGAGGUGAUUUCUCCGAUGGCUUAAUUUGGACGCUCGCUGCCGGCACAAGUGCUGGAGGUAGGGUAUGAGAAGAGAGUGGAUGGGUGGAAGAGGGGAGCCUUCUAUAUGGGAUAAGAGCGUCGAGAGGGAUCAAGGGGGAUGGGGAGCGGUGCGCCACGGAGGUUGCGCUAGUGACGUGGCCACUUGAGCAACUAGGCGUCGUUUUACCGAGUGGGAUUGUGCAAGUCACACACGACCGGCCGAGCAUUCCGCCGGCCAGCCGAAUGUAAACGUUUCUCUUUUUUGAAUUAAUAGCAAAAUCAAAGGUCUACACAGAUGGAUCGGCUACGACUCAAAACCUAACACUUUAAGAAAAAACUAGAUGAUAUCCCUCUCGUUGUUACGUGAAUCGUUUGCAAUAUAUUUCAAUCACAUUUGAUUGUGUGAAAUGUAAAUGUUUAGAUCAAUAACAUGUGAACAAAAUUUAACAAUACAUAUGAGCUACUAUAUUUAAUUAUGUAUAGUUGCAAAAUAGUUAUUAACAUAAGUAGAAUAAUAGAAUGAAAGAUAUUUUCCCAUGCAUGGUUGCAUGUGGUGGUGGGUCUUCUCUCAUGCAUGGUGGCAUGUUGAGGUGAGCUUUAUCCCAUCCUUAAUUGUAUGAUAAUGUGGCACGCUUGCAUGUUGAGAUAUCUUACAUUUUUAAGAAGUUGGUUUCAAUUCUCUCAACAUGCAAAGUGUCCACCUCAAUGUCCCACUAAGCAAUGCAUUUAAGUCUUCUCUCCCACUAAGCCAUGCAAAAUCUAGCACAUAAAGUCAUGCAUUUAACUUAUAAAAUACAAUUAUUUUUGCAUUAGUCUAUGCCUGUAACACUGCCACAUCAUAUAUUCAUGUUAGUCAUCCUUCACAUUUUUGUUCAAAAUGACAUUAUUAACUGUAAUUCAAAAGUUUUUAUUCUAUUUUUAGAUAUUUUUUAUUGAUUUUCAAGCUUAUACUUUAGAUUUAGUUAUUUUUAUCAACUACUUACGCUUUUUUUAACAAAGUUACCGCAGAAACACGUGGGGAGAGAGUCAUCCUCACUACUCGAUUUCAGAGUUAUUUAUUAAAUCCAACUCAUCUUCUACUGCAAAACAUUUCUUAUUUCUAAUUUCUUACUCCUUUUCUCAUUACCAUGUGCCCCUCUCUUUUAAAUUGUUUAUUACACUACCAUUCCGCUGCAACGCGCAAGGUAUUGUCUAGUAUAACUUAGUGAUGAUGACUCUUUUAAGUAUAUAUAGGAUGAGGAUAAAAUCUGGCAUCUACAUCAUUUUGAUGCAUACAACCAUUUUUUUUAAACAAUGAGUAUCAAGGUCCGGUGCAUCAAACUUCAUAAUAAAUAGAAAGAAGCCACCACCAUUGACAAUAGGACUAUAUAUACUUACACGCAUAGCCUAUUAUUAAACCGCAAUCCAAGCAGAUUGUAAGUAACAUGUAGAACUGUCUCCCACUGCUUGCACCCAACACCCAUAGCUCAUAUACCUUCACAUGCUGCAAUAAGGACCAUGUACGUAUCCAUGUGUAGCUCCGAAAAUGAUGUGCAUAAAGUUCUAUAUUUUGACUCUGUUAAAAACACAGUCAAGCCGACAAUUUCAUAGAACCCAGGGCAAAUCACAAACUCCCGCCCAGAUAUGUGGUUUAACUUUAUUAUUAACCCCACCAAACAGGUUUGCCAUACUAGUAGGUAGCGGCAGGAUAAUCACAUAAAUCGUACUCCCUCCGUCCCAUAAUGUAAGACGUUUUUUUGACACUAGUGUAGUGUCAAAAAAUAUCUUGCAUUAUGCGACGGAGGGAGUAUAUCAUACCAAGGUGGCAAAAUAACAGGAAAUAAACGUAUGAUAACUUGUUUCAUCCUGAUAACAAAAUAACAUCACACUGGACUAUGACUCAGAACCUAGUUUACGAUACAAAAUCUCCAACCACACGAUUUCGCGUUCAGGCCAAUAACAGCCCCAAGACAUAGGCACAUAAUCCAAUGCGUUUGAUAUUUGAUAUCUGCAAAGAAAACGUAAGAUGAUCUUUAUUGAAUGGCAUCUAAUAAGGCCAGGUUUGGUUCAUCAUGGGCCCCUGAACCUUUACUACCUACAGUUGUUCAAAUUAUAAGACUUUCCAGUACAAUUUGCACCAGUCAAACAUUUCUGAGUUUGUCCUUCCAAAAGAGAAAAAACAUUUUGAAAUUUCUCCCGGCAAAGGGAAAAAUAUUCAUAAGUUUGAUUCAUAUGUUUUCUAGUCAUAUUUGUCAACAUCGGUUUGUCAAUUGUUGCUCAUCAUGCAAUUUCUUGUCUUAGGGUGGGAUCGCCAUGGAGAAGUACAAGCAAUUUCCGUCAUUGUUGGAACUUGCUCAAGAAGGAUGAGAACUGGAAGACGAUGAAUGAUGAGGCUCCACCGAAGAAAUCAAGGUCAAGUACCUCGUGCUUUUUGAAGGUUGACAAAGAAGAAGAAGAUGAUGAUAUUGAUGAGGGUGGCGAUGCUAAGAGGAGACUGAGGAGUCCUACUCCAUCGAGCAAGAGGGUGAAGGGUAUGCUUGAGAGGGAAGUGGAUGUCAUUUACACGAGGGAGAAGAUAUAUAAGUUGAUCACGACGAAGAAGGACAUGGUGGCGCGAAUCAUGCAAGCCAAGUUUGACUUGGUGGAGAAGAAAAGACAAGAUAAGUUGGUGAGGUGGCGAGAGAUGAAUGACGGCAAGAGGCACAAGGUUGACAUGGAGAAGGGUCAGCUUCUACUCAAGGAGAACCAAAUGAGGCAAUAGGGUGUGGCCGAUGAGAAUAUGAUCAUGAAGAUGGGUCCCGGUGGUUAGCCGUGAGUUAGCUAUGUUAGGAGGGGAGUUCAUGGUAGAACUGGAAUCUGGCUAAGGCUCCUCAAAGAUUGAUGAUGCCAUAUACAUGAAAUUUACUCCUAUUUUAACUUACAUAUUAUAUUUCCUCAUAAAUGAAACAACAGGGGAGGACGGGCUAGGAAUACUAUUACGAACAAGAGUACAUGAAACCCUUUCGUAUCUCGAGCUCUAGUGAGCCCUGAUGUUUUCAAAAUUACAAAUAAAUGUUUUAGAAGUAUCAAAAGAAUUGACAUGCAAACAUGGACGCCCAUCUGUACCUAUAAAUUGUCAUGUAAGGCACGCUAAAGACAAUAGGUAUGCAUUGUUUUCUAUUAUAAUCCAUGAAUAUAUGGAUCAAGGGAGACUUCUAAGGAUCAUAAGGAAUAACUAAGAUAGCCCCAAAGCUAUAAAUAGGUGAGGAAAAAGGAAGAAAAGCCCAAAGCGGUCAGAUCCAUGAUUGACAACUACAUCAAUGGCCAUAUCCAUACCAACCAGUUCAUGAUACCACACUGACGAGGGGGGUCUUCAAUGAUUCCAUGGCUCCAAUGAUGCGGAACAAGUGAGGCAUUUAGCUAGGCUCGAGACGUGCCAUCUUCUUGUGGAUGUUAGAGACGGCGAUGAACUUCCCUUGGAUCUGCUUGUAAUCUUUAUUUUUGUCAUAGGUUUAUUAGGUUUGGACUUAGUUAAUAACUUAUAUCUGGCUUUGGCCUUUGAAAAAUAAAUGAUCCAGUUGAAAUGUCGCUUUGGCCUUUGACAGACUAAAAUGAUCUAGUUGAAAUUAAAGAACCACAGAAUGAUUCUCUUUAUUCUCAUUCAUAGCAGAUAGCCCACACAUGUUGAGCGCGCGGAGCUCACAUAUGUAUACAUGCACACCACACGCCUAUGGAUGCAACAUGCAUGCUUAUUCACGAGCGACUGAUUUUAUCUCUAGAUCCACAGAGGCUGUUCCACGGCGGGGCAGUAUCGAACAUUGUGAAUGGUCGCCAAGUUGCACUGCCCCGGGGCGACGAGUAAUCUGACGAAGUCCCAUUGCAUCUCCCUGGGGCAUCCGGGCAGAUCGAUGAGGCCGCUCUCACCAACAUUGCCGGACCUCGGGUCCACAGGCUGAGACGGUACCGGCAACGCUAUGAAGUAGCGCAGCGCCUCGCACCGGCACUGCUGAGAAAUUUCUGCGAGCUCCUGGCAGCAAUACAACUUGGCGAGGUACGGUUUCCCAGGGGAGUAUAUCGACGCAGAUGUCAUCCAUUCGGGUAACUUUGACCCAGGGGUGAAGGUGCCACAAGUUUGUUGUAACACAUAGUCGCGGCAGUGUGGCAGAAGAUUGGUCCGAAAAGCCACCCCUGGGACGCAGCUGCCGGAGGCGGAAGCAGCGGCCAAGACGGAGAGCAGGACGGCGGCCAAGAGGAGGAGGCUGCAGCUGGACUUGCACGCCAUGGUAUUCUAGCCAAGUCUGGUUCGCUGGUGUAGUUCCUUGAGUUUAUGCUGGAUGCGCCACACAUGCUCGCAUAUAUACCCAGAAAAAGUUAAGAGAGGCAGAGUUGUUAGCAAUUAACUAAAUUUGUUGUGUUAUAUGACGGUUGUGAUGAGCUAGAGCGCACUUAAUUGAUUGGUUGCAACAGAAUUUGGAGGGGAAUGCAAGCUGUCUUUUGCGUGGAAGCAGUGAGAGAUUCAUAGCCGCUCAAACCUAGCUUUUCUCGUCAUGGUUGAUGUGGCAUCUUUUCGCAUACUAGCGGCUCAUUUAUCUCGUCAAUUAAGCGAGUUUAUACAUGCCGGUAUUGCUAAACCAACAACGGAGUUUGGUUUUGCAUGCAGUUCGUGAACAUGUGACCUACUCCCUUUGUAUCAAAAUACUUGGUAGUUGGGGAAAUUUGUACUGGUUUCACCCAGCUCCUCGACGGGGAGUUAAUAAUACAAACUUGUCACAUAUGGGUUUGUAGUACUAACCUAUGUAAUAAAACAUCUCGAUGUGUUUCACUGUCUAGAUCAUAUGAGUUGGCGUACAGGAUUAUGGUGAUCCAUUUAAUGCUUGUGGUGGAUCUUUUUUAAUGAGUUGAAUAAUUCAACAUAUUGCUACUAGUGUUGUUGUGAGAUUAAUUUGCGGAUGCAUACUGAGUCUAUGUUAGUACAAUGUUGGCCAGUUAUGAUGAGGGGAUAAUAAUGAGAAGAGUGUGCAUUAGAUGGAGUAGGCCGAGGUGUGGGAUUAGCCUAGUGAUAGAAAAGGUUAAGACGCAUGCGCCUGUUUGUACUCUCUUAGUUUGCUCUGCUACGGGUAAAGAGAGUGUUUUCUACCUAUCUCAGUAUUCUCUUCGGGAAUAGAUUUAUUAUCAACAGUAUGCCGAAGUUUUUAAUGCAAUUGUUUUGUAGCUUAUAUAUUGACGCCAUGGGUGGAGUAUUAUCCAAGUGACUUGGCGUGUGUUAUAAUUUUGGAUGUAUCAUCUAUAUAAAAUGUACACGACUUAUUUUUAUGACUAUGUGUAAGUGGACUGACCAAAUCUCAUCAUUAUGUUUCUUAUUAUGUGACACCUUGUUUACGAAAGAUGUUACUGGUGAACCUAUGAACCAUGGUCAGUUUCUACAUAUAAAAACACUCCAAAAAUACUUUACUAACUAUUUUAUUUAUAUUUAUUAACUAUUCCUACCACAGUUCUUUAAAUCUAAUGCAACCACAGUCACCUUCCUUUACAAGUUGAACAUCAAUUCAGGAAUUUAGCAAAAGUAAUUUUAUUGUCGGGGGGUUGAACCUCGGGCAGGCAACGGAACCCGGAUCCUUUUCAAAAACAGCGGAACCCGCAUCGCCCCUCAAACCGGCACGCGCCUGGCCGGGUCGCUCGACCCGGCAAGGCCCGCAACCCGGCCAAGCUCUCCGACCCGGCAAGGCACGUCGACCCGGCCUCAACAAUUGGCACGAGACAGCCAAACCCCGCGCAACCAAGGCUUCUCCAACAAGCCAGCCCCACCUGUAGCGUGCUCCGCAAUCCAGCCACGGGCCAGCUCCUGUCCCAUCCAGGCCGUACGAUGGGACGAGACUUCAAUCACCGAUGACCAAGACAACAGUGCCCCCACCCAUGCCUAUGGUCAGCCGGAGCGUGGCAACAGUGCCCCUCACCUGCCCGUUGACCAGGGCUGGCGUGGUAACAGUGCCCCCGCCCUAGCCGCUGAUGACAGCAAGCGGCGACCUGAUGGGGCAUCAUUGUACACGACUCGACUUGGCCUCACCCUGACGAACGACAAGACGACGCACAGUCCCCCUAGGCAUGCGGGGCCCGCACCUAGGGGAACCCGGCGAACCACAAGCCCCGGCGGGACCCAGCCCGGGUUCCCGGACGCCGACAACCCGGACCCACCGACUCACAAUAUUACCAUUGUAUCCCUGGGGGGUUGGUCUAUAAAACCCCCCAGGAGCCCACGCAUAUACGGGCAUGUGAUGUAUGUAGAGAACAGGAACAAGUAAGCAACUAGCCACCGAAACAGCCACCCCAGAGAGAAGGGGCAGCCCAAGCCUUGGCCAGCUCCCUUCCUCUCCCAUACAGCUCCAGGAGCGACAUUGUACUAUCGAACAUCAAACUACACUCAGCAUGACUAAGGGUAUUAUCUCUCUGAGAGCCCCAAACCUGGGUAUGUCCGGUGUCCCGCGCCCGCUCAUGCCAACCUCGCCUCUAGAGCCCACCAGCGCCCUCAAGCCUCCUCCUCUCUUUAGCUGUCCCUUGGCAUCCACCGUGCGCCCACCAUGACAGUUGGCGCCCACCGUGGGGCAGCUCGAGGAGCUGGCCGGGAGCAUGCUUCAGACGGGGCCCCUCUCCUACUCCGACGAGUCUGUCGCGCUGGCGGACGACAUCGUCGGCGCGCUCGCCGCCUCCUUCGUCGCGCUGCGCAUCUCUGAUGCGUUCGCGGCCGACGAGUACCCCAGUGAGGUGCUCAGCUACUUCGACUCUCCCCUCUCCCUCGGCGGUGGCAUUUCCGCCGCCAUAUGGAGGUUUUCGUCACCGAGAUGGCGCCUCCUCCUCGUCGAGCAAGUUGAGGAAGGCCACAGAAGCUAGGGCCACAGCGGAACGGACCGAGCCGUCCGAUCCGUUGCGCGCCGCGAUGCAAAGCCUCUGUAUCCCCAUCGGCACCGACGUUGACGCCACCAACGUCGCUGAGGCCCGAACUCAGCUCGAGGAAAGGUGCCAGCAGAUGCUGGACCUGUCCGAGACGCUCGCCGCCACCAAGCGUCGCUUGGACGCCGCUCAGCUAGAGCACGACGCCGCCCACGGAUUCGCGCCCGUCGGGGCCGAGCCAAGCCGGGUCGCUGAUGUGCGUACCCGGGGAGGAGCGAUCGGCCGGGCCCUCGGCGCCGUCCGGACCGUCUACGAGACCCCAGUGAAGAACAUGCGCGCUGCCCAGGCAGACGCAGUCGGCCUGGACCGGCUCAUGGGUGAAGAGCUACAGGAGCGCAUCGGGCGGAUGCGUGAGCUCCUCAACACGACCAACACCCAGCAGGACCGCCUCAACCAGCUCACCAAGCCGGCGGGGUCCGGCUCCGCCCGCCUUGGCGGACACGGCGAACUUCUGCACACUGCUUCCUCGCCGCCCGGCGAGGCGCACUCCGGCCAAGCCCGGACUCGGCGCGACCCGGCCGCCACAGUCGUCGGCGUCCUGGGCGACGAGCCCGCCCCGGAGACCCAGCGCGGACCCGGCCAGCAUGGCCGACGUACAACUCUGACCGACCCAGCCCCCCGGGACCUGGCCGCCAGUCGACUCGGCCUGCGCGCCAUCGGCGGCGCUGACGCUCGCCACCUCCUCGAUCAGCUCGCUCGCUCCCUGGAGGUGGAGGAGAGCGGCACUAUCGGGCCGGCGUGCUUCGGCCCACACAUCCGGGACGAGCCCUUUACCAAAGGAUUCUGCUCCCCCGCAACACCCCCAAGUACAACGGGGCCGUGAAGCCAGAAGACUGGCUCACCGACUACACCACGGCCAUUGGCAUCACUGGUGCCAAUCGCCGUCUCGCCAUGCGCUACGCACCGCUCAUGCUCCAGGGGUGGGCCCACACGUGGUUGAAUAGUCUGCCGAUGGGCAGCAUCAAUACAUGGGUCAAUUUCGAGGAGGCCUUCGUCCGCAACUUCACGGGGACCUACAAGCGACCCAGCCGCCCUAGCCAACUCGCCAUGUGUGUGCAGGGGCCAACGGAGGCCGGUCGCGAGUACCUCGCACGCUGGACCGAGCUCCGAAACAACUGCGAGGGCGUCCAUGAAGUCCAGGUGAUCCAGUACUUCAUCAACGGGUGCCGAGACGGCACCCUCCUCAAGCACAAGCUCUUGCGCUCCGAGCCGGCCACCAUGGCCGCGCUCAUGCUAACGGCGGACAAAUACGCCAACGCCGACUCCGCCAUGAAGAUCCAGGUGGCGCUGGACGAAGCCGGCAAGGCGAAGCCGGUUCCCUCUUCGAAGCCGGCCGGCGAAAGCAACCGGCAGCAGCAUCACCAGAACAACAAGUACAAGGCCGACCAGCCGGCGCAGCAUCACGACAAUCGGCUCGUCGCGGCUGCCAAGCCCGCGGCAGACCCGACGGCGAAGCGUCGGCAGACCGGCAAGAUGGCGUGGCAGCCCACCAUGAGUUUCGAAGAGAUGCUCGACGCUCCCUGCAAGCACCACAGCGGCGCAAGACCGUCCUCGCACAUGCUUCGGCAGUGCGCCAUCACCAAGCACAUCAUGAGGGGUGACGUCCCGCCCCCUCCGGCUCCGGCUCCAGGCGCGGGGCGGCCGCCUCCACCUCCACCGCCGCCUCCAGCUGGCGGCAUGAUGCACGACGACGCCUUCCUGGACCAGAACGUGGCCUACAUCAUCUUCACCAGCCUCGGCAAUGACAAGCGCAGCGAGCGCCUCCUUCGGCAGGAGGUGAACACCGUUGUCCCGACCAAGCUAGAAUUCAUGCACUGGUCGGAUCGCCCGAUCACCUGGACUCGGGAGGAUCGCCCGACAGUGAUGCAGAAUCCGGGAGGUUACGCCCUCGUCCUCAACCCCACCAUCAUCGCGCGGCGCACGUGCAAGUUCUCUCGAGUCCUCAUUAACGGCGGCAGCAGCAUCAACAGCCUCUACCGCGACACGAUGACCAAGGUCGGCCUCAAGGCCGAGGACCUGGAGCCAACCCGGACGAUCUUCCACGGCAUCGUACCCGGCCUUUCCUGCUCUCCCAUUGGCCUGGUCCGGCUCGACAUCUGGUUCGAGGUGGUGGACCUGUCCAGCACGUACCAUGCGUUGCUGGGCCGGCCCGCGCUUGGCAAGUUCAUGGCGGUUCCCUACUAUGCAUAUCUGAAGAUGAAGAUGCCGGGUCCCAAGGACUUCAUCACCAUUACCGACGACUACCGCAAGUCUCUGGAGUGCGCCCGAGAUGGCGCCAAGUUGGCCGAGUCGCUGGUCAUAGCCGAGGAGUGGCGCCAGCUCGACCGGAUCGUCGCCAUGGCAGGCGAAGCCUCGGCCGCAUCGAUCCCUGUCAAGGACCCGGCCGAUGAAGCCGCCUUCAAGCCCUCCAAGGAUACCAAGAAGGUGAAGCUGAACCCGGAAGACCCCAGCUGCAGCAAGUACGUCGUCGUAGGCACCCUCCUCGACAGAAAAUAGGAAGGCGAGCUCGUUGACUUCCUCCAUGAGAAUUGGGAUAUCUUCGCAUGGACCCCCAAGGACAUGUCGGGUAUCCCAAGGAAGUACGCCGAGCACAAACUUCACAUCCGCAAGGAUGUCAAGCCUGUCUGUCAGCCCCUACGACGAUUUUCCGAAGAGAAGAGAAGAACCAUCGGUGAAGAGGUCGCCAAGCUUUUGGCGGCCGGCUUCAUAAUGGAAGUGUUUCACCCCGAGUGGAUGGCCAACCCAGUCCUCGUCCUGAAGAAGAACAAGACCUGGCGCAUGUGUAUAGACUACACCAGCCUCAACAAGGCAUGUCCCAAGGAUCCGUUUGUCCUCCAGCGGAUGCGAGCUCCUGUCCUUCCUGGACGCUUACUCCGGCUACCACCAGAUCAAGCUGGACCCGGCUGACGCCCUGAAGACGUCCUUCAUCAUGCCCUUUGGGGCAUACUGUUACAUCACCAUGUUGUUCGGCUUGAAGAACGCCGGUGUCACCUUCCAAUGCUGCAUGCAGAAAUGCCUGCUGCCGCAACUCGGACGCAAUAUCCACGUUUACGUGGACGACAUCGUGGUGAAGACCAAGUAGCACCUCACGCUCCUCGACGACUUGAAGGAAACAUUCGCCAACCUCCACGAAUACAAGGUCAAGCUUAACCCGGAAAAAUGCGUUUUCGGCGUCCCGGGCGGAAAACUACUUGGCUUCCUCGUCUCGGAACGCGGCAUUGAGGCGAACCCGGAGAAGAUCAAGGUCAUCGAGUGUGCACAGGCCGGCUCGGCUGCGUGAUGUCCAGAAGUUCACCGGAUGCUUGGCCUCAGUCAGCCGGUUCCUAAGCCAGCUGGGCGAGAGGGCGGUGCCCCUGUACCAGUUGAUUAAGAAGACGAGCCCGUUCUCAUGGAACGACAAGGCAGACGAGGCCUUCCAAGACCUCAAGCGCAUGCUCUCCACCGCACCGGUCCUGGCCGCACCGACCGACAAGGAGCCGUUGUUGCUCUACAUAGCAGCGACCUCGCGGGCGGUCAAUACGGUGCUGGUGGUCGAGCGACUAGAGAAGGGCAAGAUCCAAGCCGUCCAGCGCCCGGUCUACUACCUAAGCGAGGUGCUCUCCAUCUCCAAGCAGAACUACCCGCACUACCAGAAGAUGUGUUACGGCGUGUACCUCACCGCCAAGAAGCUGAGGCGGUACUUCCAAGAGCACGUCGUCAGCAUGGCGCCUAUUGGAGAAAUCAUCGGGUGCCGGGAUGCCUCUGGUCGGGUCACCAAGUGGGCGCUCCAGCUAGCCGGCCACACCAUCCUCUACAAGCCCUGCACCACGAUCAAAUCUCAGGCCCUAGCCCACUUCCUCGUCAACUGGCCCGAGACCCAGUACUUGCCACCGCCUCCCGACUCGACGCAUUGGCGCAUGCACUUCUACGGGUCCAAGAUGCGACUCAGCCUGGGGGCCAGCAUCGUGCUAUCAUCGCCGAAGGGCGACCGACUCUGCUACGUGCUCCAGAUCCACUUCGCCGCCUCCAACAACGUCGCCGAGUACGAAGCCCUCGUACACGGCCUUCGGCUUGUCAAGGAACUCGGCAUCUGAUGCAUCCUGUGCUACGGAGACUCGGACCUUGUGGUGCAGCAAUGCUCCGGCGAGUGGGACGCUCGUGACUCCAACAUGGCAAGCUACCGCUUCCUCGUCUAGAAGCUGACGGGGUCCUUCGAAGGCUGUGAGUUCCUCCACGUCCUGCGCGUGGAGAACGAAGCGGCCGACACGCUCGCCAAGAUCGCAUCAUCCCGGCAAUCCAUCUCGUCCGGCGUCUCCCUCGAGCACCUGCGCAAGCCGUCCGUCAAGCCGUCGCCAGACUCCGAGUCCAUCCACGUUCCAGACAACCCGGCCGCGCCUCAACCCGGCCCGGGGACUGCUGAACCCGGCCCGGGGGCUGCUCAGCUCAAUCCGGCCGACAUCACCCCAGACCCGGCCGCCACCGUUCCCAACCCUGGGGCUGCUCAACCCGGGCCGGGGGAUGCUCAACCCGGCUCGGGGGCUGCCAACCCAGAACCCACCCUGGUGACCGUCUUUGCUGUGGUUACGGCUCUGUCGUGAGCCCUCCCAAUAUCAGAGUUCAUGAAGAACGGGGUUCUCCCCAUGGAUGAAACCGAGGCCCGGCAAGUGCAGCAUUGGGCGUCUGCCUAUAGCAUCAUCAACAACGAUCUCGUCAAGCGUAGCUCCACCGGCGUAUUCCAGCGCUGCGUCGAGCAGGAUCAGGGCAUCGACAUCCUCCUUGACAUACACCAGGGCGAAUACGGGCACCACGCCGCCUCGUGAUUCCUGGUGGCCAAGGUGUUCCGCCACAGUUUUUACUGGCCCACGGCCCUUGAAGAUGCCGAGUCACUCGUUCUCAAAUGUGAGGGGUGCCAGCGCUUCAGCAAACGCAGCCACCAGCCGGCGUCAGCACUCCGCACCAUACCGAUCGCCUGGCCCUUCGUAGUCUGGGGACUAGACAUGGUGGGACUCUUCAAAACCGCUCGAGGUGGCAUGACGCACCUGCUGGUGGCAGUGGACAAGUUCACCAAGUGGAUCGAAGCUCGGCCGAUCAAGAAACUGGACGGGCCAACAGCCGUCCGGUUCAUCAAGGACAUAGUAGUUCGCUACGGCAUGCCGAACAGCAUCAUCACGGACAACGACACCAACUUCGCCAAGGGCGCGCUCGAGCAAUACUGCUCCGUCUUCGGCAUCUUCCUCGACCUGGACUCCGUUGCACGUCCGCAGUCCAACGGGCAGGUCGAGCGGGCCAACGUACUCAUCCUGUCCGGCGUCAAGCCACGACUCGUCGAGCCACUCAUCCGCUCACCCGGCAUCUGGCUCGAUGAGUUGCUGGCCAUCCUCCGGAGUCUCCGCACCAUGCCGAACUGGUCGACCGGGUUCACCCCGUUCUUCCUCGUUUAUGGAGCCGAAGCCGUCAUCCUGACCGGCGUCAAGUUCGACUCGCUGUGUGUCGCGAUGUACACCGAAGCUGAAGCCAGAGAAGCCCGCGAAUAUGGCGUCGACCUGCUCGAAGAAGCGCGCCUCCUGGCACUCAGCCGUUCGGCCAUCUACCAGCAAGGCCUGAGGCACUACCACAGCAAGAAGAUAAAGCCCCUCGCGUUCCGCGAGGGCGACCUCGUCCUCCGACUCGUCCAAGAGCAAGCAGGCCAACACAAGUUGUCCCCUCCAUGGGAGGGCCCAUUCAUCGUGAGCAGGGCCUUGCACGACCGCAACGCCUACUACCUCAUUGACGCACGAAGAUCAAAGAAGCACAAGAGAGAGACCGCCGGUGAAGAAACGACUCAGUCGUGGAACACGGAACUCCUCCAUCCAUUUUACAGUUAGCCGCACGAGUGUAUGUAUCAUCGCCUUUUGUAAACGCAUGAAACUAUGGGGUUCCCCGAACGAGGCUCGGGGGCUGCCUUUUAUCAACCAAUUUAUUGCGUUCCUACUUUCUCGCAUCACCAUGCCACUGAACCCGGCCACCGGUCCGACCAGCUCGAUGAUAACCAACAAGUGUAGGGGAUCGCAACAGCUUUCGAGGGUGAAGUACAACCCAAAUUUAUUGAUUCGACACAAGGGGAGCCAAAGAAUAUUCUUGAGUAUUAGAAGUUGAGUUGUCAAUUCAACCACACCUGGAUAACUUAGUAUCUGCAGCAAAGUAUUCAGUAGCAAGAGUGGUAUGAUAGUAAUGGUAACAGUAGCAACAGAAAAGAUAAAUGUUUUUGGGUUUUUGUAUUAGUUGUAACAGUAGCAACGGAAAAGUAAAUAAGCGAAGAACAAUAUGUGAAAAGCUCAUAGGAAAUGGAUCAGUGAUGGAUAAUUAUAUUGGAUGCGAUUCCUCAUGCAAUAGUUAUAACAUAGGGUGAUAUAGAACUAGCUCCAAUUCAUCAAUGUAAUGUAGGCAUGUAUUCUGUAAAUAGUCGCACGUGCUUAUGGAAAAGAACUUGCAUGACAUCUUUUGUCCUACCCUCCCGUGGCAGCGGGGUCCUAGUGGAAUCUAAGGGAUAUUAAGGCCUCCUUUUAAUAGAGAACCGGACCAAAGCAUUAACACAUAGUGAAUACACGAACUCCUCAAACUACGGUCAUCACCAAGAAGUAUCCCGAUUAUUGUCACUUAGAGGUUGUCGGAUCAUAACACAUAAUAGGUGACUAUAGACUUGCAAGAUAGGAUCAAGAACACACAUAUAUUCAUGAAAACAUAAUAGGUUCAGAUCUGAAAUCAUGGCACUCGAGCCCUAGUGACAAGCAUUAAGCAUAGCAAAGUCAUAGAAACGUCAAUCUCAGAACAUAGUGGAUACUAGGGAUCAAACCCUAACAAAACUAACUUGAUUACAUGGUCAAUCUCAUCCAACCCAUCACCGUCCAGCAAGCCUACGAUGGAAUUACUCACGCACGGCGGUGAGCAUCAUGAAAUUGGUGAUGGAGGAUGGUUGAUGAUGACGACGGCGAUGAAUCCCCCUCUCCGAAACCCCGAACAGACUCCAGAUCAGCCCUCCCGGGAGAGGUUAGGGCUUGGCGGCGGCUCCGUGUCGUGAUACGCGCUGAAACUUUCUUCUUGAUUUUUUUUCUCCCCGGGACGGUAUAUAUGGAGUUGGAGUUGAGGUCGGAGGAGGUCCGGGGGGCCCACAAGAUAGGAGGGCGCGCCCCUAGGGGGGGCGCCCCCUGUCUCGUGGACAGCCCGUGGGCCCCCUGACCUUGAUUCUUUCGCCAAAAAUUCUGAUUAAAUCUGAAAAGUGCCUCCGUAGAUUUCCAGGACAUUCCGAGAACUUUUCUUUUCUACACAUAAAACAACAUCAUGGUAGUUCUGCUGAAAACAGCGUCAGUCCGGGUUAGUUUCAUUCAAAUCGUGCAAGUUAGAAUCCAAAACAAGGGCAAAAGUGUUUGGAAAAGUAGAUACGUUGGAGACGUAUCAACUCCCCCAAGCUUAAACCUUUGCUUGUCCUCAAGCAAUUCAGUUGAUAAACUGAAAGUGAUAAAGAAAAACUUUUACAAACUCUGUUUGCUCUUGUUGUUGUAAACAUGAAAAGCCAGCAUUCAAGUUUCAGCAAAUAUUAUGAACUAACCAUACUCAUAAUAUCACAUAGGUCUCACAAUUACUCAUAUUAAUAGCAUAAUCAGCUAGCAAGUCAUAAUAAUAAAACUCGGAUGACAACACUUUCUCAAAAUAAUCAUAACAUGAUAUAACAAAAUGGUAUCUCGCUAGCCCUUUCUGAGACCGCAAAACAUAAACGCAGAGCACCUUUAAAGAUCAAGGACUGACUAAACAUUGUAAUUCAUGGUAAAAGAGAUCCAGUCAAGUCAUACCCAAUAUAAAGCAAUAAUAAUGAAUGCAAAUGACAGUGUGCUCUCCAGCGGGUGCUUUUAAUAAGAAGGAUGAUGACUCAACAUAAAAGUAAAUAGAUAGGCCCUUCGCAGAGGGAAGCAGGGAUUUGUAGAGGUGCCAGAGCUCGAUUUUAAAAUAGAGAUUAAAUAACAUUUUUAGCGGCAUACUUUCGCUGCCAACGCCACAACUAUGAGAUGGUUGUAUCUUCCAUACUACAUGCAUUAUAGGCAGUUCCCAAACAGAAUGGUAAAGGUUUAUACUCCCCCAACCACCAACAAGCAUCAAUCCAUGGCUUGCUCGAAACAACGAGUGCCUCCAACAUACAACAGCCCUGGGGGAGUUUUGUUUAAUUAUUUUGAUUUUCUUUGAUCUUUUUGGAUCAUGGGACUGGGCAUCCCGGUUACCGGCCCUUUCUCGUGAAUGAGGAGCGGAGUCCACUCCUCGUGAGAAUAAUCCACCUAGCAUGGAAGAUAUAUGCAGCCCUAGUUGAAACAUGAGCUGCUCGAGCAUACAAAACAGAAUUUCAUUUGAAGGUUUGGAGUUUGGCACAUACAAAUUUACUUGGAAUAGCAGGUAGAUACCGCAUAUAGGAAGGUAUAGUGGACUCAUAUGGAACAACUUUGGGGUUUAAGGAGUUUGGAUGCACAAGCAGUAUUCCCGCUUAGUACAGGUGAAGGCUAGCAAAAGACUGGGAAGCGACCAACUGAGAGAGCGACAACAGCCGUAAGCAUGCAUUAAAAUUAAUUCACACCGGAUACAAGCAUGAGUAGGAUAUAAUCCACCAUGAACAUAAAUAUCGUGAAGGCUAUGUUGAUUUGAUUCAACUACAUGCGUGAACAUGUGCCAAGUCUAGUCAUUCAAUUCAUUCAAAGGAGGAUACCAUCCCAUCAUAUCACAUCAUAAUCAUUCUAAUAGCAUGUUGGCACGCAAGGUAAACCAUUAUAACUCAUAGCUAGUCAAGCAUGGCACAAGCAACUAUAAUCUCUGAGUGUCAUUGCAAAUAUGUUUACUUCAUAAUAGCUGACUCAGGAACGAUGAAUCAUCAUAUUUACAAAAACAAGAGAGGUCGAGUUCAUACCAGCUUUUCUCAUCCCAAUAAGUCCAUCAUAUAUCGUCAUUAUUGCCUUUCACUCGCACGACCGAACGAAGUGUAUAAUAAUAAGAGUGCAUGUGCAUUGGACUAAGCUGGAAUCUGCAAGCAUUCAACUCAAGAGAGAAGACAAGUAGUAUGGGCUCUAAAUAUAAAUGAUGAAUCAUGCAUAUGAGAGCCACUAAGCAUUUUCAAUAUGGUCUUCUCGACCGCUAGAAGAAAGAAAAGAAAAUAAAACUAUUUACAUGGGAAAGCUCCCAACAAGUAAAAGAAGAACGAGAAAUCUUUUUCGGUUUUCAUUUUAAUUUCUACUACAAGCAAGGAAAUUAAACUAACUUAUUUUUUUGGUUUUUCUUAAGGUUUAUCAAACACACAAGAAGAAAACUAGAAAAAGAAAUUUAAACUAACAUGGAUAAUACAAUGAAAGAGUAUGAGCACCGACGACUAGUGUGUGAACAUGAAUGUAAAGUCGGUGAGGAAUACGUACUCCCCCAAGCUUAGGCUUUUGGCCUAAGUUGGUUUAAUACCAAGGACCGCCUGGCUGAUAUCCAUAAGUGAAACUGGGAUUGUACUGAGAUGCAGAGGCAACAGCCUCCUGGGCAGCAGCGUGUUGGUGAGCUGCCUCCAUUCCCCUCUCAUUUUCAGUGGCUUCUUCCCUGGUGAUAACAUAUCCUCCUCUUGCCUGAUAAUCAAAAAGGUAGGGGCAGGAAGAGUGACAGGGACGACGUUGCGUCUAUCAUAGAUUAGUCGAUAAUGGAGGAAUUGUUCAUUCCUCUCAAGAAAUUGAUGAUCAAACAUAGCUUCUUUAUCUAAAUAAGCAGGAGGUACAAUCAUAUCCCCCUCUCGUCGAGCUAUAUUAAGAAACUUUGCCACACGGGUUGCUUAAAUUCCUCCAAAGAAAUUUCCCUUUUUACUAUUAUUAUGCAACCUACGUGCAACUAUUGCCCCCAAGUUAUAACCUCUGUAACCAGACACAACACUCUUGAGGACACAAAGAUCAGGAGCACACAAGUGACUUACUUCGUCCUUACCGUUAUUGCAUUUACCAAUAAAGAGAGCAAAAUAAUGUAUAGCAGGAAAAUGAAUGCUCCCUAUGGUAGCUUGUGCUACGUCCCUAGAUUCUCCCACAGUAAUACUAGCAAGAAAAUCUCUAAAUUCAGAUUUGCGAGGAUCAUUAAUAUUACCCCACUGCGGGAGUUUGCAAGCAGUUGUAAAAUCCUCUAAAUCCAUGGUAUAAGAUGUAUCAUAAAUAUCAAACAUAACACUAGGAGAAUUACGCGAAGAAAUAUAUUCGAACCUCCGCACAAAGGAAUCAUUCAAAUGAUAAUAUUGAGGACACUUAUCUUGUAAGAAGUCCUCCAGCUCGACAUUACGCACAUACGCGUCAAAUUCCUCCUUGAAGCCUGCUUCGACCAUAAAAUCAUCGGAUGGCCACUCACAAGCCCGUACAUAUGCAUCCCUCGGCAAAUUAACAUCUUUUUCACGUAUAGCAAUCCUGGGCCCUUUCUUUGCCGAGGAACCACCUUGGUACAUUCUUCUAAGCAUAUUUCUUUUUCUGAAAAUUUCUGAAAUUUUAGUAACUUCAAAAUAAAAGUGCAUAAAACUAAACAAGAUUGAUAGCAACUACUCCUACAAGUGCCUAGAGCCUAUAUCAUGCAUUGGAAUUGCUUGGGACCUCAAAAUUUUAACAUGCAAGCUCAAGAACAGGGUCACCAAGGCAGCAAGGAUUUGCAAUGAAUAAAGCACUAGAACAAAAACUAAUUGGACUAAUGGAGGAGUCACAUACCAAGCAACAAUCUACCAAACCAGUUUUGCGAAUGGAGCUUUGAGCUAAGAGAUCAAAAAUCGCAGCAAAACGAGCUAGAAGUCGGGCUUGAGCUGGAUGGGGAUUUUUUUGGGUAGAAGAUGAAGUGUGUGGGUGCUGGCAUAAGUGGAGGGGAGUCACCAGGGGCCCACGAGACAGGGGGCGCGCCCUACAGGGGGGGGGCGCGCCCUCCUCUCUCGUGGCCUGGUGCUUGGCCCUCCUGAAGUGUUUUCAGUGCCUAAAAUCCUCAACUAUUCCAGAAAAAAUCAUACUAAAUUUGCAGGGCAUUUGGAGCACUUUUAUUUUCAGAUUAUUGCACGAAUAAAUCAGAAAACAGACAUAUAAUACUAUUUUUUUCUUUAUUUAUUCUAAAUAACAGAAAGUAAAAGGAGGGUACAGAAUGUUGUGCCUUCUAGUUUCAUCCAUCUCGUGAUCAUCAAAAUGAAUCCACUAACAAGGUUGAUCAAGUCUUGGUAACAAACUCAUUCCGAAUAACACGGAACCGGAGAAAUUUCGAAUAACACUAAGUUACCUCAACGGGGAUAUGAAAAUCCCCAACAAUAAGAAUAUCAUACUUUUUCUUGACAAUAGGGAGAGGAAAUUCAAAACCUCCAAAAAUGAUAGUUGGAAUUUUUUCAAUAGAAUUGAUGCUAUGAACUUGAGAUUGUUUCCUCAGAAAGUGUACCGUAUGCUCAUUACCAUUAACAUGAAAAGUGACAUUGCCUUUGUUGCAAUCAAUAACAGCCCCUGCAGUAUUAAGAAAAGGUCUACCAAGGAUAAUAGACAUACUAUUGUCCUCGGGAAUAUCAAGAAUAACAAAGUCCGUUAAAAUAGUGAAAUUUGCAACCACAACAGGCACAUCCUCACAAAUACCGUAAGGUAUAGCAGUUGAUUUAUCAGCCAUUUGCAAAGAUAUUUCAGUAGGUGUCAACUUAUUCAAUUCAAGUCUACGAUAUAAAGAGAGAGGCAUAACACUAACACCGGCUCCAAGAUCACAUAAAGCAGUUCUAACAUAAUUUCUUUUAAUGGAGCAUGGUAUAGUUGGUACACCCGGAUCUCCAAGUUUCUUUGGUAUUCCACCCUUAAAAGUGUAAUUAGCAAGCAUGGUGGAAAUUUCAGCUUCCGGUAUCUUUCUUUUAUUUGUGAUGAUAUCCUUCAUAUAUUUAGCAUAAGAAUUUGCUUUCAGCAUAUCAGUUAAGCGCAUAUGUAAAAAAAAUAGGUCUAAUCAUUUCAGCAAAGCGCUCAAAAUCCUCAUCAUCCUUUGACUUGGAUGGUUUAGGAGGAAAGGGCAUGGGUUUCUGAACCCAUGGUUCUCUUUCUUUACCGUGCUUCCUAGCAACAAAAUCUCUCUUAUCAUAACGUUGAUUCUUUGAUUGUGGGUUAUCAAGAUUAACAGCAGGUUCAAUCUCUACAUCAUUAUCUUUGCUAGGUUGAGCAUCAACAUGAACAUUAUCAUUAGGUUCAUGUUCAUCACCUGAUUGCGUUUCAGCAUCAGAAAUAGAAAUAUCAUUGGGAUUCAUAGGUGUGUCUGCAAUAGGUUCACUAAAAGUUUGCAAAGUCCUAUCAUUCUUCUUUUUCUUCUUCUUCUUAGAAGAACUAGGAACAUCUAGAUUAUUUCUCUGAGAAUCUUGCUCGAUUCUCUUAGGGUGGAUUUCAGGAUACAAAGGUUCCUGAGUCAUUCUACCAGUUCUAGUAGCCACUCUAACAGCAAAGUCAUUUUUAUUAUUCAAUUCAUCAAGCAAAUCGUUUUGAGCUUUGAGUACUUGCUCAGCUUGAGUAGCAACCAUAGAAGCAUAUUUGCUAACACGGUGAAGUUCAUCUUUAACUCUAGCCAGAUUAUCACCUACGCGUCCUAUCCCGAAAGCAUUAUUCUUUAACUCUCUACCGACAUAAGCAUUAAAACUUUCUUGUCUAGCCAUAAAGUCAUCAAAUUCAUCUAAGCAUGGGCUAUGAAAUUUAGUAGAUGGUAUUUCAACUUUAUCAUAUCUAUAGAGAGAAUUUACCUUUACUACCUGUGUCGGGUUAUCAAGACAAUGUGGUUCUUCAGGCGGUAUAUUCAGACCAUGUAUUUCUUCAAUAGGACGUAAAUUCUUAACAUCUUCAGCUUUAAUACCUUUUUCUUUCAUUGAUUUCUUUGCCUCUUGCAUAUCUUCAGGACUGAGAAAUAAAACACCUCUCUUUUUUGGAGUGGGUUUAGGAAUAGGCUCAGGAGUUGGCUCAAUUGGUUCAGGAAUUACUUCAGGAACUGGCUCGGGAAGAGUCCAAUUAUUUUCAUUAGUCAACAUAUUAUUCAAUAGUAUUUCAGCUUCGUCGACUGUUCUUUCCCUGAAAACACAACCAGCACAACUAUCCAAGUGAUCCUUGGAAGCAUCGGUUAGUCCAUUAUAAAAGAUAUCAAGUAUUUCGUUUUUCUUAAGAGAAUGAUCAGGCAAAGCAUAAAGCAACCGGAGAAGCCUCCCCCAAGCUUGUGGGAGACUCUCUUCUUUGGUUUGCACAAAAUUAUAUAUUUCCCGCAAGGCAGCUUGUUUCCUUUGAGCAGGGAAAUAUUUAGCAGAGAAGUAAUAAAUCAUAUCCUGGGGAUUACACACACAACCAGGAGCAAGAGAAUUAUACCAAGUCUUAGCAUCACCCUUUAAUGAGAACGGAAAUAUCUUAAGGAUAUAUAAAUAGCGAGACUUCUCAUCAUGAGUAAAUAGGGUGGCUAUAUCAUUCAACUUGGUAAGAUGCGCCACAACAGUUUCAGGGCCAUAAAAAGGAUCAGAAUCAACUAAAGUAAUAAUAUCAGGAUCAACAGAGAAUUCAUAAUCCUUAUCAGUAACACAGAUAGGUGAAGUAGCAAAAGUAGGAUCGGGUUUCAUUCUAGCAUUAAGAGACUGCUGCAUCCAUUUAGCUAAUAAUUUCUUAAGAUCAGAUCUAUCAUUGCAAGCAAGAAUAGCUUCAACAGCUUCUUUGUUCAUAACAUAACCCUUAGGAAUAACAGGUAAAACAUAAUCAUUGGGGGAACGUUCAUCAUCACUAUCAUCAAUAGCAUCUUCCAUAUUUUCAUUCCCCCUAACUCUAGCAAGUUGUUCAUCAAGAAAUUCACCUAAUGGCAAAGUAGUAUCACGCACAGAAGUAGUUUCAUCAUGCAUAGCAGAAGUGGCAUCAUCAAUAACAUGCGACAUAUCAGAAUUCAUAGCAGUAGCAGGUUUAGGUGUCGCAAGCCUACUAAUAACGGAAGGAGAAUCUAGUGCAGAGCUAGAUGGCAGUUCCUUACCUCCCCUCGUAGUUGAGGGCAAAAUCUUGGUCUUAGCGUCUUUCAAGUUCUUCAUAGUGAUCAACAGAUAUAAAUCCCAAGUGACUUAGAGGAUAGAGCGAUGCUCCCCGGCAACGGCGCCAGAAAUUAGUCUUGAUAACCCACAAGUGUAGGGGAUCGCAACAGCUUUCGAGGGUGAAGUACAACCCAAAUUUAUUGAUUCGACACAAGGGGAGCCAAAGAAUAUUCUUGAGUAUUAGCAGUUGAGUUGUCAAUUCAACCACACCUGGAUAACUUAGUAUCUGCAGCAAAGUAUUUAGUAGCAAGAGUGGUAUGAUAGUAAUGGUAAUACUAGCAACAGAAAAGAUAAAUGUUUUUGGGUUUUUGUAGUAGUUGUAACAGUAGCAACGGAAAAGUAAAUAAGCGAAGAACAAUAUGUGAAAAUCUCGUAGGCAAUGGAUCAAUGAUGGAUAAUUAUGCCGUAUGCGAUUCCUCAUGCAAUAGUUAUAACAUAGGGUGAUAUAGAACUAGCUCCAAUUCAUCAAUGUAAUGUAGGCAUGUAUUCCGUAAAUAGUCACACGUGCUUAUGGAAAAGAACUUGCAUGACAUCUUUUGUCCUACCCUCCCGUGGUAGCGGGGUCCUAGUGGAAACUAAGGGAUAUUAAGGCCUCUUUUAAUAUAGAACUGGGCCAAAGCAUUAACACAUAGUGAAUACAUGAACUCCUCAAACUACGGUCAUCACCGAGAAGUAUCCCGAUUAUUGUCACUUAGAGGUUGUCGGAUCAUAACACAUAAUAGGUGACUAUAGACUUGCAAGAUAGGAUCAAGAACACACAUAUAUUCAUGAAAACAUAAUAGGUUCAGAUCUGAAAUCAUGGCACUCGGGCCCUAGUGACAUGGGGGAUGUAUUGUUUGUGUCGAAGAUCCUACUUAGAUGUCCCAAGUUAGUUGACUCAGACAUGUGGACCAAUGUGCAGAUCACUGCUUUAUGGUCAAUUUGCAUAUAAACAUAUCCACUCAGGCCCCAGAAGCAUUACAUGGCCAUUGAUGCAGUAGCACUAGCUUGCACUGUAGUAGCUUGACUUAAUGAUUUGGAGUACCAUAGUGAUGCUUGCUUAAAACUGAAGUAGCAGCAAUUGGUAGCGAUAGCUAGCUUGACUGGAUUAUGUGCUUAAUUCACUGAAUUUGGUUGGUGAAGAUGAAUUAGCAGCUCCCCCAUGUAGCUAGAAUUGGUAUGAUUUCUAUGGAGAAUGACCAAUUCACCUUCUUACCCCUCAAAAAAAUCAGCUUCUUUAAAACUGACAGCAGGUUCCUCCCAUGUUUCACUUUUUCUAGGUUAGUUUCUUCCAGCUAUAGGUUAGUUUACAGCUAGAAUUAUGUAUUUCAACCAUUUAUAUGUUUAGUUUCCAGCUAUAGGUUAGUUUACAUCUACUUGCUGCUAAUACAACAUAAUAUUUGAUAUGAGCAGGGUGAACAACCUUCAGGUCCCGGGAAUCUACUCAGGGCUUAGUUUCCUAUAGGUUAGCUUCAUUUUACCUAAGUUGGCUCUAAUAUGCAAACUUAGAGCUUAUAUGCUUAGUUUCCUAUAGGUUAGCUCCAAAAUAACUUAUGUUAGCACAAAAUGAUCAAGUUUACAUAAUAAGCUUAUAGUCUUUUUCUUAUUCUUCUUCUUUUCCAAAAUGACAUAGGUUAGCUUCAUUUUACCUAAGUUGGCUCUAAUAUACAAACUUAGAGCUUAUAUGCUUAGUUUCCUAUAGGUUAGCUCCAAAAUAACUUAUGUUAGCACAAAAUGAUCAAGUUUACAUAAUAAGCUUAUAGUCUUUUUCUUAUUCUUCUUCUUUUCCAAAAUGACAUAGGUUAGCUUCAUUUUACCUAAGUUGGCUCUAAUAUACAAACUUAGAGCUUAUAUGCUUAGUUUCCUAUAGGUUAGCUCCAAAAUAACUUAUGUUAGCACAAAAUGAUCAAGUUUACAUAAUAAGCUUAUAGUCUUCUUCUUAUUCUUCUUCUUUUCCAAAAUUCUUCUUAUUCUUCUUCUAGUGUUCUUCUUAUUCUUCUUCUAGUAUUCUUCUAGUCUUCUUCUUUUUCUUCUUCUAACUUCUUGUUUAUCAUUUUGCAGAUUUGAUUUAAUUCACGGAAGCUUGCAUGGAUGGAGUGCUUCUUUUCCAUUUGUGUUUUUAUUUUGUAUCAAUGUGAAACUUUUGUGAAUUGAUGGAUAACGAUGUUGGAUGAACAAUGUGAAACUUUCGUAAUAUGUAACAAUGGAACUAUGUGUUGGCUAUGUAUGUAUAUAUGAUGGAACUUGUGUGUUGGCUAUGUAUGUAUAUAUGAUGGAACUUGUGUGUUGGCUAUGAUUGUUAUAUGGAUGCUUGUUGUAUAUAUAUGUGUUGGAUAUCUCAUAGGUGAAAUAGUGACCUGAGAUUAAGAAGGAAAAAAAUUAAAAAAAAUUGUUACUAAUGGCGCACUACCAUGUGGUGCGCCAUUAGUAUAGAAUACACUAGUGGUGCACUGUGGGCAAAACUAAUGGCGCACUGCAUGGUGUGCCAUUAGUAUACCAGAUACUAAUGGCGCACCAGUGGUGCGCCAUUAGUAAAAAAUACUAGUGGCGUGAUACUAAUGGCGCACUGGUAAUGCGCCAUUAGUAGGCAAAACUAGUGUGCCAUUAGUAGGCCUUUUCCUAGUAGUGUAGGGAUCAAACCCUAACAAAACUAACUUGAUUACAUGGUAAAUCUCAUCCAACCCAUCACCGUCCAGCAAGCCUACGAUGGAAUUACUCACACACGGCAGUGAGCAUCAUGAAAUUGGUGAUGGAGGAUGGUUGAUGAUGACGACGGCGACGAAUCCCCCUCUCCGGAGCCCCGAACGGACUCCAGAUCAGCCCUCCCGAGAGAGAUUAGGGCUUGGCGGCGUCUCUGUGUCGUGAAACGCGAUGAAACUUUCUCCUUGAUUUUUUUCUCCUCGAGACGGUAUAUAUGGAGUUGGAGUUGAGGUCGGAGGAGGUCCGGGGGGGCCACGAGAUAGGAGGGCGCGCCCCUAGGGGGGGCCCCUGUCUCGUGGACAGCCCGUGGGCCCCCUGACCUUGAUUCUUUCACCAAAAAUUCUAAUUAAAUCUGAAAAGUGCCUCCGUGGAUUUCCAGGACAUUCCGAGAACUUUUCUUUUCUACACAUAAAACAACAUCAUGGUAGUUCUGCUGAAAACAACGUCAGUCCGGGUUAGUUUGAUUCAAAUCAUGCAACUUGGGCAAAAGUGUUUGGAAAAGUAGAUACAUUGGAGACGUAUCACUCGACCCAGGGACUCGGGGGCUGGCCGGCUCGAUCGCCACCCCACCGCCUUACUUGGUGAUUCCUGAUACAGUAAGGUUGCCGCGGUCCCCCACUUCGCCUAAAAGCCACAGAUCCGGCUUCGGCUGUCGGCCGGCAAGCACAACGGGCCAAAGCUCCAUCAUGCUUAAAACGCCAAGUCAAAGGCCGCCGGGUCGAUUAACCCGGCCCGUCACACAGAAACUAAACAGCCGCACGACCGGCUGCUCACCAACCGGUUUCGCCGGGUUGCCGCAAGCUGGCCCAGUGGGUGUUCCGCUCGCGCUCAACGUUUUGAAGGGCCCAAGUCCUGCACGCUCCUCUAGAAGAACCAAACUCCUUGUCACGGACCGGAGCCUCGGCCGUCUAACUCGGGGGGGGGAGGUUUGAGAAAGGAGAAACGCAAGAAAACGGUCCACAAAACGGACGGCAAAAGCGAAAACACUCAUGACAUUUACACAUAAAUAUUUAGAAGGCCCACGGCCUGAGUUCAUUACACCCUAAAACCCCCAGUGGGUGGGUGGACCUGCUACUUAACAGAUUCUACUAAGAAUGUCCAGGCAUCUCCAGCACCGCGUCGCGGCGUCGACGGCUCUCCCCUGGCGGCCUCCGGGUCCAGCGAGGCACCGGUGUCUCCCUCGGCAUCCUCGUUGCGGUAAACGCCCGUCUCCUCCGAUCUCCCCUCCAGAUCAUGGAGAAGCAAGCCGUAGUCGUUGCCAUCCACGACCCUGCCGUCUUUCGUCCGCUCCGGAUGGAACUCGUCGUGGAAGGCAAACUCGGCGAUGUAGCUAGCCUGGGACGCAAUCCGGCCGGCUUGCUCCUGCAGCAACUGCUUCGAGCCGGCCCGCUGGCCCAUCAGCGCGUCGAGCUGAAGGUCCGGAUGCCAAGACAGCGCGAACCGGAGCGCCAUCUCAGCGCCGGCACGAGCGGCGGAGACGCGCCACUCACCAAGACGGUCCGGACCCAUCUCCAACCAACAUGCCAGGCGCGUAAAGCUGCUCGGCUGGACGGAGUCCGGCCAGAGGCCCGCUGUCAUCGCGGUUCCGGCCUGGGAGAACCACUCCAUCUGCGUCCCCAAGAUCCGCAGGCGGGCCUCAGCAGCGGCGAUGAUCUCCGGGAAGGUCCACGCCACCCACGGGUCUGUUCCGGAUCCAACGGCUCCGGUCGGGUCGUGCUGAAAGCGGCCGGCUUCCUCCGCCAGCCGUUGCGUCUUCGGGAAGGUCCCUGACACAAAAGACGAAGCAUAUAAGAAGAAGAAGAACAAGGAUGAAAGACCAAACCCCGACCCGGCCAUACACAAGAAAAGCGCUUACUGGAGAAGGACUCUUCCAGGUGUUGCGCUUCGAGCAACGUACCACGCCGCUCCCGUUCAAAGGCGCAGUCGCGCUCCUGGAGUGCCUUCUCCAGAUCAGCCGCCCUGGCCAGGGCCGCCUUCAGUUUGGCGUCCUUGUCGUCGGCAACCUUCUCGGCCACCUCGCGGCGACAGGCCUCGUCCUGCCGGGCCUCCUCAGCCACGGUAGCCUGCUCCCGCAGGCAACCCACCUCGGCCUGGAGCCGGCCCUUGUCGUCGGCUAGCCGGCCGCGCUGCUGGUCCGCCUCGACUAGGGCCUGCCGCGCCUCCACCGCCUUAAGGCGGAACGCGUUGCUGGUCUGCCUCGACCAGGGUAUGUCGCGCCUCCACCGCCUUAAGGCGGAACGCGCUGCUGGUCCGCCUUGACCAGGGCCUACCGCGCCUCUGCCGCCAUGGCGGCUUCCGCCUUAAGGAGUUCCACCUCGGCCUCGAGGCGGCUCUUGUGACCCGUCAGCUACUCGUGCAGCUGGUUGGCCUCGUCGAGAGAUCGCCGGGCCGCGGCCUCCUCCACCCUCACCUUCGCCGCCUCGACGCCAAGGCGGCCGGUGUCGAUAACAAGCCGGUCAUAGUGGUGACCAUCCUGGAGCAGACGAGUCCGCUAGGACAGCACCUCGGCUGCGAAAAAGAAGAGUUCAGCAAACAAGAAAGCAAGACUUAAGAUUUUGCCCAACUGUUACACAGUUGGUCUGAAUCUCGGGGGCUACACCCAGUGGGUGUGCUUGCACACCCCCACUAGAAGAGAGCACGAAGAUACCUGCGCCGACGCGAAGCUCCUCCUCCUUGGCGGCAAGCUGCUCCUUGAGCUCCCGGUACUUGCCCAGGAGACAGUUGAAGGCGCCGACCCGGUAGGCGUCGAGUUGCUGAAGAGAGCAGAAAUCAAUACAAGGUCAACGCUCCAAAGAUUCGACCCAACUACUGCGUAGUUGGCCCGAAUCUCGGGGGAUACACCCAGUGGGUGCGCUAGCGCGCCCCCACAAAGGAGAAAUCAUGAAAAAGAAGAAAAUUACUAGAACGGUGCGCUCCAGGUCACGCGUCCGCUCCACCUCGGCCUGGGCAAAGGCCUCGAGCCGGUCCGUCCGGCCGCGCAGGCGGAGGCUAACGGUGUCCAUCACCGCCUCCUCCUGGGUCUGAGGCCCGAAGAGCACAGCGCCCCCGGUCCGUGGCGGCUGCGGUGCGGCAGCCCGGCGUCCUCCCUGCCAGAUUGCCAAGGUGGGCUCCCUACUGGCCGCCCCCGACGCGGCCGGCACCUCCUCUGACGCCCGCUCCGGCGCCGUCAGCGACCCGGACACCGGGACUCCCUACGUCGCCACCUCUGAUCCGGCGGCGCCUCGCGGUGCCUCCUCCAGCAUCGGCGGCGCCUCGUGCGCCACCAUCCAAAGCGCCUCCUCCAAGACGGUGCCGCCUCUACCACCAUCAGCCCCCGCUCGCUCGACAACGUCGACCCGCGGUGGGGUGUCAUCCUCAACGUCCACGACCUCCCGGUCAAGGACUACCACCUCAGCCUAGCCCUCGCGGUCGCGCUCCCUCACCGACGACGGCUCAAAGACCGUCGCCGCCACUACCGUGCCCUGCGGCAUGUCGCGCCAAGCCGGCUCUGUGCCGGCUCGCGCCCAUGCCGCCGCCGCGUCGGUCCAAGCCUGGACCGACGCCGCCUCCAGCUCCACCUCGGCCAUGUUCAUGUCACGCCAGGCCAAGUCCUCAGCAUCGUUCGGGUCCAGGCUGAGGUCCGAGUCGGCCCACCCCUCCACCUCGCCCUGGUCGACGAGGUCGGACCGGCUCCUGCGGAACGCGGUCCCUUCGGCGGCCGCGGCGUCCACCGCCGCCCUCGCCAACGCGAUUGGCGACCUAAAGAAGAAGAAGACAGAAUGAGCAAAAAGAAACAAGGCCGCCGUGACAACUCCGGACGCGCACAAGAGAUAAAGCUUACCUCGACAGGACUGGGACCGGAGUUGGCCUCCCACCACGCCUCCUCUUAGUCGGCCUCCCGGCCUCGGCCGGGUCCGCCGUGCGCUUCGGGGCCCGGAGCCGCGACGCGACGCUGUCCUUCCUGUGCAGGCGGCUCGGCGCCGUCCCACGCGACGACCCGGCUCCGCCCACAUCGCCGCCUCCCCCGCCCAACGCCGCUGCUCCAACAACCAGCGUCAACGUCGCCCAUACCGUACCUCGGUCAACAACUCAAGAUACAUGAAGAAAAAUACAAGACUUACCCGCGCGACGCCCAACGUUGGCAUCGGCUUCGGCUUCCCCUUCCCCGCCUCAUGCUGUGGGCCCCUCUGGUGCCAUCGGCACCACCUGCGACGGAGCCCGGGCGUAAGGAUGCCGGCUCGCGUUUAGAAGCACCUCCCGCGUCGCAUCAGGACAAACGAGAAGGUGCGCAGCAGCAAAGUAAGGCGACUAGACACUCACCUGCGGCGUCGGGUUCGACUCGCUGUACGGCACAUUGCCGAACCGCCGGUCCUCCCCAAGGUUGGCCUUGGAGAUGUCAUUCACGUGGCACGCGAUCUGCUCCACCGACAGCCACGCCGACCCCAUGCGGUUGGGGUCUUGAUGGCCCACGAUCUCGCCAAUAAGGCAGGAGCGCCUCUGCAGCGGGAGGACCCGGCGCAUGAUGAAUGCGGCGAUGAGGUCGUUGCCGGAGAUCCCCUCCCGCGUCCUCAUCACCAUCACCCGCUCGCAGAGAUUGAGAAUCUCCUGCGACGGGCGCUUGAGCGAGUAACCCUAGUUCAUCUUCGCCCGUGGCGGCGCGAUGGCGAAGGGCGGAAGGUUGAUGCGGUCCGCACCCAGGUUGCGGACGUAGAAGAAGGAGUUCUGCCGUUUCUUGGCAGAAUCCUCGAGCGGGAUCUUGGGGAAGUCCGCCCCCGACCGCUUCGAGAUGACGGCGGCGCCACAGUCGGUGAACUCUCCAACCGACGGGCUCUGAUGCUUCAGGGAGAAGAAGCGCGCCCAGAGGUUGAUCAUGGGCUGGACCCCCAGGUACCCCUCGCAGAGGGUGACGAAGCCGGAGAGCUGGACAAUGGCGCCGGCGCUAAGAUGAUGCGGCUGAAGCCCGAAGAACUCCAUGAAUGUGCGGAAGAAGGCGCUCGCCGGCAGCCCGAACCCGCGCUCGAAGUGCGUGAGGAAGACCACGCGCUCCGACUCCUCGGGCUGCGGCCUGUGCUCGCCGCGCGGCAGACGAACAGCGACAUCUGUCUCCCGCGGCAAGCGCCGCGACGCUCGAAGAUGGGCGAUGUCCUUGACAGUGACAUUCGAGCCCAUCCAAGAGCCCGACGGCAGGGCCAUGAGCGGAAGAAGAAGAAAGAAGAUGGACGACGGAGAAGUUCUGCUCGGGGCAGCAAGAGCCGUUGUGCGUCGGUUGCAAAGAGUAGGGCGACGGCAAGGGGCAGGAAGGCGCCGGCGAGAAUGAUGUCCGCUGCCGCCCCCCCCCCCCCACCCCAACUUAUAGCCCUCGGUUUAAACGUGGGGGGGGGGUGGGAUCGUCUGCACGCACCCUUUCCACUACCCCGCAAUCAGUGUGCACAUACACACGUAGUAACUGUCCGAGGAAGGGCAACCGGCCCCCGGACGCCGCAAUAAAUCCGUGCGGCAUGGGCCAAGGGCGCGCGGCGGCGGGCCCCAACCCGUCGCCCAGUCGCGUCACACGCGGGGCCCGUCAGGCCCCUCCGACUCCCAGGCACCACGUGGCGCCCGCACGAAAACUGAGGGAUUGCCCAAGAUUCGACGGACUCCUCGGUUCCCGCCACCACCGAGGUGUCGUGAUCCGGUUUCUGAGAAAACCGGCACAAAAUGGGUGCUGCCGGACCCGAUGCUCGCAAAAACCGGCCCACUCAUCCGAAGAUGGCGGACCUUCACAGCUUCGGGGACUACUGUCGGGGGGAUGAACCCCGGGCAGGCAACGGAACCCGGAUUCUUUUCAAAAAUAGUAGGGCCCGCAUCGCCCCUCAAACCGGCACGCGCCUAGUUGGGUCGCUUGACCCGGCAAGGCCCGCAACCCAGCCAAGCUCUCCGACCAGGCAAGGCACGUCGACCCGGCCUCAACAACUGGCACGAGACAGCCAAACCCGGCGCAACCAAGGCUUCCCCAACAAGCCGGCCCCACCCGUGGCGUACUCCGCAAUCCAGCCACGGGCCAGCUCCCGUCCCAUCCAGGCCAUAGAUGGGACGAGGCUUCAAUCGCCGAUGACCAAGACAAUAGUGCCCCCACCCAUGCCUAUGGUCAGCCGGAGCGUGGCAACAGUGCCCCUCACCUGCCCGCUGACCAAGGCUGGCGUGGCAACAGUGCCCCGCCCUCGCCGCUGACGACAGCAAGCGGCGACCUGACGGGGCAUCACUGUACACGACUCGACUCGGCCACACCCUGAUGAAUGACAACACGACGCACAGUCCCCCUAGGCAUGCGGGGCCCACACCUAGGGGAACCCAGCGAACCACAAGCCCCCGGCGGGACCCAGCCCGGGUUCCCGGACGCCAACAACCCGGACCCACCGACUCACAAUAUUACCAUUGUAUCCCUAGGGGAUUGGUCUAUAAAACCCCCCAGGAGCCCACGCAUAUACGGGCAUGUGAUGUAUGUAGAGAACUGGAACAAGUAAGCAACUAGCCACCGAAACAGCCACCCAGAGAGAAGGGGCAACCCAAGCCUUGGCCAGCUCCCUUCCUCUCCCAUACAGCUCCAGGAGCGGCAUUGUACUAUCGAACAUCAAACUACACUCGGCAGGACUAAGGGUAUUAUCUCUCCGGAGAGCCCCAAACCAGGGUAUGUCCGGCGUCCCGCGCCCGCUCAUGCCAACCUCGCCUCUGGAGCCCACCAGCGCCCUCGAGCCUCCUCCUCUCUUUAGCCAUCCCUUGGCAUCUGCCGUGCGCCCACCACGACAUUUAUAUAUCCGAGGAAACUAAUUAACUAAUGGUGAUCCAUUCACAGAGAAAUAUUUUUAGAUCAUGGUUUUAAGUUCAUUGCCAAUUAUUCUCUCAUGAAUCUUCGAAAAAAAUAUGAUUAAGUACCAUUCCCCCUCCCUCAGUUAAAAUGUACCAGAAAAUGUGAGGCAUUUGUUCUUUCCUGUGCAACACUUGAUUUUGCGAGUAUUUUGUUGUUGUUAGCAUAGUCUAUUAGGUGUUUUGAGUAUUUUCUUAUUUUUCACAACCAUUUGCUUAUAAGAUUGUAAUUUAGAGUGUCCAGAUCCAGAAUUCCAGGCACCACAUAAUCCUUUGGCAAAUAAAAUAUAGGCUUGUUAAACCGAUGAUACUUCCUUUUAUCUUUGUUUGCAAAGGACAGUUCCUUUUUAUCUUGCACUAGCCUUCUUGGUCUACACUCACUCCUUUUGAUGCUUCUAGGAAUGAGAACAUCUACAAUGGUACACACUACUCAUGCAAGUGUUAGUAAGCAGAACCCUGCCUCUGGCAGAUAUGAUAUUACCUUUCCCUCCUAAAAGCUUGUUAUCCACCCUUCCUGUAUUGGCUCCUUUUUUUGUUCAUUUUUUAAAGAUAGCUCACCACUCAUGCUGCAUGGUCAUGCAUUGGCUCCCGCUAAACAUUACUCAAUAUUUUGACAUCAAUUGGAAUACCUAUUAGUAAAUAAAAGGGCAGUGUCAUAGUAUUGCAAGUGAAGAUUUUACUAUAGUGAUCCCCUCUUUCACAUGCCUCUCCCAGAUAAUAAAUUUUACUUUCGUGAGCAUAUAAUUUCAGUAUAGAGUUUUGUUAGAAAAACACAAAGGAUAGACUUCAUUUAAAUCCACAUUACUCCUAACUCAAUUGUAUACAUGGUGUACUGGAUUCACACCUCUCUUCGGACGCCGUACCAUUAAGGAUUACUUAACAACCGCCAUGAGUGAUUGCUCUGCCAACGGAUUCAUGUCCUUGUUGAGAAUGUCUCUUGGACAUGGUCCUCAGUCAGAGAUUCGUUUUCACAUCCAGGGGAAGAAGUUUUGACUCCCAAGCUAAUGUGUGUACGCGGAUGAGUAGUUAAAUCUGAAAAGAAAAGGUGAUUGUUUUACAAAACAUGCUUGUGUAUUCUAUUUGUAUGUAACUUUUAAUGAAGUAAUAACGUUCCAUGUGCUCUAGAUGAAAGAAAAAAACGAGUCUACAAAAGGCUAUUUUUUAAGUUUUGAGUGUGGGUGGAUCCUAUUCCCUGUGUCAUGCGCGGGAUACUGCGCAAUCACACACCUUGACAAGAGUGGUGCUGAUAUAACAGGCCAACCAAAUUUGCGGUUGCAGUGUUUGUUUGCAACCAUGGUGGAAAGGUUCAGUUCAAGAACCUUCCCUGAAUUUUUUUGGCAUGUGUUUUUGGGUCUUUUCAGUGUUAUUUUUUCUAUUUUUAUUUUUCACUUUCCCCUUUUUAUUUUCCAUUUUAAAAGUAAGAAAUCUUUUUUUAAUUUGCAAAUAUUUCAAAAAUUCAUGUACAUUUUUUCAAAUUCACAAACAAUUUUUGAAAUCACGAACAUUUUUCAAAUUCACAAAUGUUGUUGAAUUCAUGUUUUAUUACAACUUCAUGAAGAUGUUUUGAAUUAGCUGAUUUUUUUUAAAAUUUGGGAACAUUUUUUAAUACACAAACAUUUCAAAUUCACGAACAUUUUUUCAAAAUUGUGAAUAUCUUACGAAUUCACCAACAUUAUUUUGAAUUCAUCAAUAAGUUUGGAGUUGGCGAACAUUUUUCAAAUUCAUGAAAAAUUUCCGGUAUUGUGAUUUAUUUUAGUUCCUGAAUAUUUUUAGAAUUUAGGAAUAUUUUCAAAAUUUCAAAAUUUGUGAUUUUUUGUAAACAUUUAAAAACUUGAUGGCACUUUAUUAGUUUAAAGCAUGGAUUCUAAAUUCGGAGUCUCUUCGUGUGUGUGUGGGCGAAGAGAGCUAUAAAUAGCUCAUAGGAUGAAGGAGGCUCCGGCCAGAACCGGUUGUUCUGGGCAUGAAAAAAAUAAAGCUACGAAGCGCAAAUAAUAUAGCGGCGCGUGUGAAAGGGGCUCUUAAGCGUGAAAAGUUUCUGCAGAGGCCGAGCUCCAUUGAGCUCUUUAUUUUUCUUUCAACGAAAAGACUUUUUCCACGUCUCAAAAGAAUCUGAAAAAAGUAUCAUGUAUACAUAUAUUUAUAUAAUAUACGUACAAAAUUUCAUACGUGAUGUACACAAAAAAAGACAAAUACAUAUGUUAAAAUGGGCUUUUUACUGGUUGUAUUUGGGCCAGGUAUUUGUCUUUAUUGUGUAGCAUGCAAAUAAUCAACUUAGUUGAUGAAAUUUCAUACAUACUUGAAUUGAACAAUAUGCAUAUGUGUUUGUAGCAAGGAAGAUGACAUUUUUUAAAACUUCUAAAUAUAUUUUGAUUUUUUUUAUUUUAAAAAUGAGCUCUAACGCCGUUCUCCUCUUCAGCAGAGAUAUAAAUAGCACGGCGGUUUUCGAAAAGAAAUAAUAAAAAAUAGCACGGCGCACAGUACACGACACCGCACCGGCCUGUGGUCACAUCGCACUGUGGCACUGCGCGCGCGUACAUGCGGCCAUCUCGCCCAGUAUCCCCCACCUCCUAUAGGCCGUCCGGUCCUACGGCGCCGCGUUAAUGGCGCUGACGGCGACACAUAGCGUGACCUACUACGUACGGCCUUGUUCCGGGUGGACAUACGAUCAUGGUUGCCGAGUUAAUUGUACAGAAGUAUCACAAUUGAGGUAUUACAUAUAGAUUAGUACCACUUUUUGUAAUUUUUACAUGUCAGUAUUAAGUUUGGGGCUAGCGGUUAUAAAAAGGUCUAAAUCGCGUAUAAACAUGUAUUGACAGUGUAUCUGACCGACGGGGCCCGCUUGUCGGGUGCCUAUGUGGCAUUUUUUGUAGAAUACCCCCUAGUUUUAUAUGUAAUCACAUAAUGCCCAUUAUUUCGCGGGAAAAAAGGCCGCUGAGAGGAUUUAGUUUCCUACGGACUAGUUUGAACAAAUAAAUAACAGAAACGAAAAAUGAGGCGUCGGGAUGAUUGGAACCGCGACCUGCGGUUCUGCAGCUGCGCGCGCUAGCCACGAAGGCAGGGCGACACCCACGACAGAAAGCAGGCGACAAUUCUUUUAUACACGGUACGGAACGUUGGGCCGGUAGUUCGGCUUACCGAGUCGUUAAACAGGCCAGCCCACUCGUUGCGUCUUACAGAAUCGGAACUGAAAUUCCAAAAAAAAUGGAUUCGAACUUGAGACUAGACGAUCGAAUGGAACAGUUAUUUGCUAGUCGAGCUAAUGAGUGUAAAUGUUAUUUUUGGCCGCGCGAACAUUUAAGAACUAAAGGCAACGCUAGACAAAAAAGAGUCGAAAUUUAGACCGUUGUAUAUUUUUAAUAUAAUUUGAACAUUUUUUAAUGUACGAUAAACAAAUUUUAAUUACACAAUAAACAUUUUGUGAACUAUGCUGAACAAUAAUUAAAUACACAUUGAACAUUUUUUGUGAUAUACGAUGAAUCAUUUUUACAUAUACAUUGAACAUUCUUUAUGUAUGCUGAACAACUUUUAAUUACACCUUGAACAUUUUGGUGACGUACACUGAACUGUAUUUUUAUAGUCAUUGAACAUUUUUGUGAUCUAUACUGAUAUAUUUUUUUGAAUUGUGACCAAAUUUUUUAAAAUGUGAACAAAAUUUGAAAACCAUGAACUGUUUCGAAAUCAUGAUCAAAAUUUGGGAUUUCAAAACAUUUUCUUGAAAACAAAGUACAAAACUAAAAACGAAAAAGGGUAAAAUAAAAUAAACAGAAACAGAAAUAGAAACAAAACAAGGGAAAGAAAAAAGAAAGAAACAGGUAAAACCGGAAAACCCGUUAAAAGGAAAAAUAAGCA